CACGCGCUCCGCUUCCUCGUUUGAAAUCAGAAGACGGCAUGAUGGUGUGUGUGGACGCCUGGCGGGUAAGUGGAGACAUGUCUGUGUAAAUGUAUGUUUAAGUUAGCCGAUAGAGCCUUGGUGUCCACCCUUAGUUAUCUUAUCCUGCGGAGAAGAUAGAAGGAGAAGAGGAGCUGUUUAGAAGGUAUUUAGCGACGUUGUCCUGGAGGGUGAUGUUUGGCGGAUAUGCAAGUAUGUGUGUGAGUGUGUGUGUGAGUGUGUGUCGCUCCGUGCGCUGCCGGCCGCUCCGUCACAUUAACGUUAGCUGAAGGUUUUUCAUCAUAUGAGGUCAGGUUUUCUCGGUCAGGUGAAGUUAGGAAGGAACUGGUCGAAUGUUUAUGUCAGAUGUGGUGAGAAAGCAGUGGUAAUGUUGUAUAAUAUACUGAGUAUUCCAGUUUGUAAUAUAGGUCGGACAAAGGAUUGAUCUCAUUUUGGCUGUAAUUAAAAACAAGUCAGUGAGUUAGCACAUAUUUUGUCUUUUCAGUUCUGGUUAAAGCACCUGUGGAGAACUUUCAGUUUUGUUAAUUUUGGCGCCCCCUGUUGACUAAACAUAAUUUUUGUUCUACAAACUUAGAAUGACUUUUGACAAAUAAUAAACAAAAACAGUCAAAUGUAGGAUUUAUUGAAAAAUAUUAACUACCUUACAGGUUACAGGUAUUGAAAGUAUCAGUGUCAAAUCUUUUGUUUUGUCGCUGAUGGUCUUGCCUGCUUCUUAACAUGACUUUAAAAAAAGUCAAGAUGAGCUCAAAUAUAAUAAUAAUAAUAAUAAUAAUAAUAAUAAUAAUAAUGCUAAAUUUUAUUUUUAACAUACUUUUACAGGUACUCAAAGAUGUUUUACAAAAAAAAAAACAAUUUAAGAUACAGAUAAUUUUAAGUAAUAAGACCAACAGUGUAGAAGGUUAAAAAAGACACAAUAUGAAAAGACAAUAAAAGAACAGUUCACUGGUUAAAAGCCAAUUUAAAAGGUGUGUUUUUAGAAGCGAUUUGAAAGUAUGGGGGUCUUUACAGUCUCAGAUGGGUUUGGGGAGAUAUUCCAGAGGGUGGGGGCGGCAGCGGAGAAAGCUCUUUCUCCCUCAAGUUAGGUGCUUGGUCCGAGGGGGUAGGGCAAGGAGAUUUCCCUCUGAGGAUCGGAGGGCACGGCAGGGGAUGUAGUGGUGGAGCAGGUCUGUGAGGUAGGUGGGGGCCAGGUUGUUAAGUGAUUUGUGGGUGAGCAGGAGGAAUUUUGAAUUGUAUGUGGUGUGAGAUGGGGAGCCAGUGCAGUUUUUGGAGGACAGGGGUGAUGUGUUUGGGUGCGGGUGAGCAGGUGGGCAGCAGAGUUCUGAAUGAAUUAUGUCAGAGAUGUUGAGUUCGUUUAUGAUGCAUGUAACACAAAGCUACAUAAGUCCAAAAAGCAUUUAGGCCUCCCCCUCUUAAAGGGAAACGAAUGGAAGAUGUCGCGCAUAGUUAGAUACACAAUUUUCACCCCCAUGGGGUAUUGGGUGAAAAACAUCCAAGUCUGGAACUCCCAGUGCUUUUUAGAUCUGAAGGAUGGGUUGUACCUCAGCAUGACAGAAGUUCUGUCCAGUCUGAUAGGUUUGUGACUUGGAUGGACCAAGAGAGCAAAGGUCUCUCACCCUCUUAGCAGAAGUUGAGGAAAUCAGUCAGCAUGUCUUAAUAGACAGCAUCUUGAGAGUGUUUCCAUUGAUGGGUUGAAAAGAUCUGGUGCCUAUUGGGUGCUUUCGGGAUCACUGCACAGGGAGGCAAAAUAUAAUGCAGACAUUUUUCAUCCUCUAACAAGAAAUCAUGAAGGACAAUCAUGAAGCCACUUAACAACAGUUUUAUUACAAUGCCCCUGGUUACAGACUAAAAGUGUGGUAUAACAAUGCCUGUCUGACUACGUGUCAGGACGUAUUUGAAUAUAGUUGAUAGCACUGUUACACCGACAUCUCAUGGGGCUUUUGCAUUAUUAACUCAGAGAAAACGUAACCAACAAAGGCCAAUACAGCUAUGCCACAACAAAAACUCAGGUUCAUCUCAUUAGCUGCGUCUUGAAAAGGCAUGAAAUCUCAGCUGAGAUCCCCUGUGGCAAUGGCCUGUCACAGAUUCAAGGUGAUUCAGCUGCUCAUUUUCAGGUGUUCUAUCUAUCAUUCUUUCACCAAUCGAUGAUAAACUGAAUGUGCUCACCAGCUAUCACAUAAAGACAGAAAAGUGGAGCUGAAUUCAAGCCUUUAUUUUGCCACAUCUACGUCAUAAAAUCUAAAACUCCAUACUGUAUCUUCUAAGCUAGUCUCGUGUACCCAGGGCAGACACAUCUCCAAAGAACUGUUCAAAUAUGUGGAUCAUUUUACACAAGUUCACCAAUUUGGACCAAAUUAAAAAACAAACAAACAAACCUGUUAAAUGUAUAUGAAUAUUUGUGACAUUAAGGGUUCAUUUAGAAUGGAUUGGAAAUUUAAAUGCACUUGGGUUUGGAGACUUGAUGAACACUUUUCCACGAUAUGUAAGAUGAUCAAGUAAAAGUGUCAUACGUGAAGUACCAAAAAUAAGGCAAGAAAUGUGCGAAUUUGGCUGUAGACAAAUUGUUCACUGAAGGACAGCUUUACCCUGACCCCAUUACAACACCCAGCUUUUCUCUCACAUUACAUCACGCCUACCCAUCGGUGACUCUGAUAAAAUGAGACACGCUCCCUCCUCACACACAUGCAAACACACUCUUCCCCCCAUGGUCAUCUUUUUCAACAGCCACCCUUCAAAUGUAUGUUAUCUCUGUUCUUUUGCAUCAAGCUUAUUUACAUGCUUGUUUGAUUUAUGACCUUCAGUCUGUUGUUCUUAUUUACUCUCUUGAUAACCACUGACUGCAUGUUGGAGUCAAUGAUAUUUUUGAAGUUUACACUGAUACAAACUCAUAUACAAACUAUAAAGCAGGAAUAGUUUAACCCAGGCUACAUUGUAUAGGACAUAUACUAGGGCCUGACCGAUUUAGUGGCGAGCCAAUUAAAUUGGCCGAUUUUAGCCUGUUUGAGACUAAUCUGUAAUCGGCAAAAACUAGCUGAUUUUCGCCAAUAUUUUCAGAAAUAAAAUGCGGAGAGUAAGAAAAUGAUACACCAUUUGAAAAGUUCCCCAACGUAUCUUAUAGGUGGCGCAGUGACCUCAUGACAAUCUUCAUCCACUAACUACCUCAUGGCAUAGCAGAGUGACGGAUCUGAAGCAGACAGCUCAGUGACGCACGGAGGAGAGUGGUCCGCCUCAACAGCGUUGAGUACACAGUAAGUCAACAAGUUUCAGUUCAACCCACUUCAUGAUGUUCCCCUCUGUGCUGGUCUCGGUCAUGCCGAGUUAAUGGUGAAGCACCAUGUAAUAUGCAAGCUAAAUUUAGAGUGAGCCAGCUGCUAUUAGCCUUGCUACACUGUUCUCUGUGCCAGUAAUGGUAGAAUAAACAACAGUACACAUUACGUGAUGGAGCUACUUCUCUUACUGAGGCAGCUGCAUGUCUCCAGAUGAGACCGGACCGGAAAUGUGUAACGUGAGUUAAGACACAGAGACACCGAUUGGCGGCAGCGGCGGUGGUUGAAAAUGCUUUUCUGGUCCGAGUUUGAUCAGUCGGUCUUACUGUCGGCGUGAAGAGCAGUAGCCUACAGUAUACUGUAGAUAUCUACAGUAUAUAUGUAUUUUUUAUAACUUAAUAAAAAUUUAAAAAAAUUGUCCGAUUAAUUGGUAAUCAGAUUUUUUCCCCCUCUAAUAAUCAGUAUCGGCAUCGGUCCCAAAAAAUCCACAUUGGUCGGGCCCUAACUUAUAACAAAAAUCAUCAUGAUUUUUCAGGAUUUUGAAGCCUUUGAAUUCCACUAAUAACUCCAAUACUAGAGGAAUACUUAAGGACUUACCUUUACCUACUGGCCCUCAUGACCCUCUUGUUUCAGGAUUUUUCAUACUCAUUUACAGUUUCAAAUCAAAUCAAAUCAAACUUUAUUUAUAAAGCGCUUUUCCUACGAAAGAAUGUAACGCAAAGUGCUUUACAGUCACUUUGGCUCAUUUAAAGAUAACCAGAAAAGGUUUUUAGCCAAACAGCUUAUUAAUCAUAAAUAACUUAGCAGCAGGAUUUUUUAGGGAUUGUGGUUAAAAUAACAGUAAAUACAUAUUCAGCUCUUUUACUGCUACAUCACUCAUUUCACAGUAUUGACUUUUCAUCACUAGUAACCCAAUUAUAAAGACAUAAUUGAUGUAUCAAUCCAUUCAAUUAUAAAAAGUGGCCAUGCCCCAUCUCCGUGGUUCUCCACCGUAAGCAAUUUUACAAACAGCCUUCCAGAUGGUGCUUCACUGCUUCACUCCUCAGAGAUAGUGAAUUUGACAGGUACGUAUGGAACGCUCUCCUCUUGUAUCCUUUAUGGACACUGAAGAUUAUCUGAACGGCUCGCAUAUAUUACAGUGGGAAACAGUAAAAGCUGCAAUACAGCAUAUACCAUAAUCUUAUGCACAUUUUACAAGAUUAAAGCAGAAAAAGAUUAUGCGGAUGAUGGUAAAUCAAACAUUUUGUAAACAUUCCCCACUGACAGAGAGAGAAGCUGGAACAAAACAAAGAGAAGUGACAAAUAUAAGAAUUUAUGGAUUUUAUUCCAGUAAAUACAACCUAGUCACUUAGAAUUAAAAUGAUAAAGCAACCCACAUUAAUGCCUUUUAAAAAACUUGACAGAAAAAUAAAAAUAACUUCCAAAUCUGAAGUGGACCCAGAUAGAGGUGAACAGAUACAUUUAGAUAUUCACUAAUCUUGUCUUGCUGUGUAAAAUAUUUUAUUCUGAAUGGACAAAGCCUCUCGAUAACAGUUGUUACUUAUGAAUAGCAAGAGGGAUGCAGCAAACAAGUAGAACAAUUAAGGGCAUUAUUGCAAAUCAAUCCAGGAAAAGGAGUAUGAUGCUGUCAAAAAAAUUAAGGAUUUCACCUCUUCUUGUUGACAUUGUGGCAAUCUCUAUUUAAUGGGGUGGAUAUUUUUGACAUUACUGGCAAUUUAUUUGCAGAGCACAAAAAUCCAGUUUUGAGGUCAAUAGCUGAGCAGUCAUAAAAAAAGUGGGAGUAAAAACUGCAGACACUGGUGAGGGAUGUUGUAAUGCACAAGAAGCUGACACGAGGUCCACUAGACUGAGGAAAAACAGACACAUAACGACCACAAAAUGCACACAGUAUGGGCUUUGGCAGAGGUACAGAGCUGGCUGAGUGAGAACAAAAUGUCAGCAGAAAAGUAACAGGCAAGAGGAUCUAAAUACAUUUGCUGCUGUUUACAUUUGCAUCUUUUUUAGCAUGCCAGUAUAAAAAAAGUUUAAUGUUUUGGCUUCAUUGUCAGUGAAAAUGUGAAGUUCAAUGGGGCUUAUACCCACAAAGCAGUCUAUUGAUUAGCCUAUAAUAUGAAUAAAACAGUUAAAUUCCCUGUUAAUCCAAACUUCAAGUAGGCUGAUAAGAUUACCAUGGAAGCACUACCAACCAUCAAAUCUAAAGUGCUGUGUUGAACCUGUAUUAAUAAACCAUUGUCAAAUCAUAAAAUGAUCAUUAAAUCAAAACUUACUCUUUCUUUAUUUAUAUCUUUAGUGAGUGGACAGGUAAAAAUCUAGAUAAUGUGUAGUUAGCCGGCAACUUGGCAAGCUAAUUAUACACCUCUUAAAUGAAAAUUAGACAAUUAUCCAGACCGGAAUUAUACUUCAAAUGAUCACCUGCUAACUAUACACUAUCCCAUACACAGACACCAGACAAUUAACCUGACUUUGAAGUAGGACUGGGCGAUUAUAUGAUUGUGAUUGAUGAUCGUGAUAAAUUUUAGUUCGAUCACGCUGAUCAACUGGAUGAAACAUAGCGGAAAUGUGCGUCACAACAGCCACCGAACAUGGAGCUAAAUCCGAAGCUGAAGGCAGCAAAAUAGAUGUCAGCCGUGACUUUGAGUCAUCUUUUGAAGAUGUUAUCGUUGAGAAGUUAUUCAACGUCGGUUGUGUGGUGGUGGUUCAGGUAUCUCCAAAGUGAUGUCAUGCAAGGUAUGUCAGUGGGUGGUGCCCUCAAAUACCAGCAACACAACAAAUCCGUUUAAUAAUUUGAAGAAGUACUUCCAGAGUGAAUGCAGAAAGCAUGAAAAUGGGAGUGGAGUCUGCACAGCCUGCCACCACUGACAUCACAAGUAGCAUUAGCAGUUUAGCCAAAACUAGCAGUGAAGCCACCAGACCAAAGCAGCAGUCAAUCAUAUCAUAUACUGUACAUUUACAUCACCUAAUGUUUACAUUUUAAUGCAUCUAAUGCAUCUAAACCUUACUGCACAGUAAUCAAUUAUACCAUCAAAGUGUAAAAAUUCAAUACACGAACUGGAUAAAUAUCGAUCAUCAAAGAUCCACAUGUCUUACUUCAGUUUUUGGACAUUUUUGGCAUCAACUUAAACCAGUGUCUGAGUCUGUGAAAAGCGCUUUACAAAUAAAAUUUAUUAUUAUUACGGUGUUAAAGGAACAGUUGAAACUCCAACCUAUGUCAGUGGUUUAUGACUGUAACAUUGAUACACAAUCCAGGCUGUAACCUUUCAGUGAUAAUCCUUUCUCUCUGAUAGAUACAGACAUCAAAGUCAUCAGAAAGGCUCUGUCAGAUAAUGUCACUCUAUUGUUGUUACAAAUGAUUAAAACUAGACAGCAGGAUGCAAUAACAGACAGAUAGUAAUCAAUCUGAGUCAAACUUGAGAUUACCCUAAGGGCUUUAAUACGGGAACAGAAGUUGUUUCAUUAUAUGCAGAGAAAGCUUCCAUCAAGGUCGUUUGAAAUUUCUUUUUCCCAGUUUACAAAAUUGAGAGUUUACAGAUUGAUUUACCAGUUGGAUUAGACAGUGAACAAGUCACUCAGGGCCACAGUCACAACUAAAGGGAUUAAGUCACCAAGUUUUACAAAGCAUGGUGGAAACAUUCCUCCUCUCUUUCUCCUUCACCUAUCACCUUGCUUUCCAAUUCUUUGCUGUAGCUGUCUGCAAUCGUCGAGGCACUGAGAGUAUACAUGUACCAUCUAAAGAACCAAACUGAAGAAUAAGACGGUAUGCAAAUGGAACCAAGCUUAACUGACAAGAACUCUGAAGUCCCACUACAUUAAGACAUUUCAGUAGCCUAUUCUAAAAAAUCUAAAUGACUUCACCACAGUAAUCACUUUCAACAAAGAGGCACAGUAAAUAAUAGUACCAGUGCUUCAGAUACACUAUAGCCACAGCUCAGACAGCUGAAUGGAAAGCCCACCAAAUCCUGCACCUAAUACAAGCAUUUAGUCAACACAUCCCAUGAUGAAACUACCAGGAAAUAGUCCAUUGUAUGUAAAUCUGUGAAACACUUAACUAUCCAGCUUUGAAAGUGCUGAUAUUUCAGAGCACACAGUAAAAAUUUCAGAUGUACCACAUUUGAAAACUUGUAAAGAGAAGCAUAGACCAGGAUUCAAUAUUCUAAUCCAUUCAGCUCAAGUGAGUCAUUGCAGAGGAGGUCAAUGCAAAUCAAUAAAAGAAAAAAAAAAUCUGUUCUGGUAGAGCUUUUAAAUUUUAUAUACAGUUAUGAGGAAAUAAACUAAUCCAUCAAAUUAUCAUAAAAAGUAACAAAAUGCCAUUAAUCUGUACAAAAACAUUAUCAUUGACAACCAAACCCAAGCCAAUCCAGAGUAAAGUUACAUUAAAGCAACUAAAAAAGUAAAGCAAAGUCUAAAUGGUGUGCCAAAUGGACGCAAUCUAAACAUCUCAUCUAAACUUGUUUUCAAUGAAUACACCCUAGCAAUCACACACUACUCACUUGCACAAUACUCCUGAGAAAAAAUCAGACAUAAAUUGUCUCAACCUUCAACCUGUGUAUCUCUCUCCCUUUCCUGGCCCAUUAUUCCAAAGCACCAUACAAUACUAGCACUGAUUUCACCACUACCAAGGAAACCACUUUCCUGACCUAGAAAAGCACUAGGACUUCAUUGGUAUCGAUAUUCUGAAAUAAUCACCCGUAAAAUGGCCUCCAGUUGAACUGAAGAGCACAGGUGGUACAAGUGUGGAGCUCAAAUCUAGCUCUUUUACUCACCAAUGAUUUCUAUUUCUCUUUGAGUAUUCCUGUUGUAUUCAUGUUUAUUUUUUAUACUUUUAGAUUUUUUUGAUAAUAGGUGUGUAUGUGGUUUCCAGUGCUUCUGGGGCAAGCCUCAAGUGGCCAUUUAAGGAAGUGCAGUUUUUAGCACUGUUGCACUGGCUUCAUUUCUCAAGCACAGAGGCUGUCUUUUGGACAUAACUAUGGCUGAGUUCAGUUUGAUGUGUGUGCCUCCUGUGAGUAGGCUGAUAAGAAUCUGUGGUCUUUGCAGUGUAGCAUUGAAUCCAGGGGCGUCAAGGUCAGGGAAAGAAGUACUGAAUGCUUAAGGCCCUUGUAAGGAGGGGGGCCCUUGACAAACCUGAAAUACACUUACUGUUUUCCUUGCUUUUGUUCCUCUCCAAGCUGUUACUGUUCUUGUAUAACAAAAAAGUCUGAUUUACUUAAAAUAUACUCUGAAUUUCUUUUUAGAAAUAAUGUGAAUUCUCUGUCAGAAGCCACUCUUACCUCUAUCAUAUGCAAAUGGUCAGUCUGUACAGUGCCUGAGUGAUGCUGAAGGUAGCACUGUAUCUCACUAUGAAGUUUUCAAAAGUGAAUAGAACGAAAAAAAUAAUCAGAAGGAAAAGAGCUCUGAAAAGUUUCUUUUAAAAGGAAAGUCUGCUCAAGUAAUACAGUUUAAGAAUGGUCGAAGUUAACGCUGGCAAGUUUUAUUUAAUACAGUCAGACAAAAUUCUAGUAGCUUUCGGUUCAUUUAGGCUACAUUUCAUGUAUAAGUUUAUCGUAUUCACAGAUGUCUCAGCAUGGUAGGCAAACCUCAUAGGAGCUAACAUUUGAUAGAUAUUACUUCCCGGUAAAGUCAGUUAACUUUGAAGCUAUUAUUUGUUAAUUUCCAACUAAACCAGCGAUAAAAAUAUUUGAUAUCAUUGGUUUUAUUACACUUAACAGUUUCAUGGUAUUAAAGACUUUGCAUUAGCUUUAAAUCUUAGCCUGAUAACACUUUAUAAAGACAGUGAAAUUAUGAAUUAUUAUUUUAUGGAGGAAAGCAAAUCAAGCUGUUUACUUAGUAAAGGAAAAAUGAUGGAGACAGGGCAGAAGAAAGUGAAGAAAGAGAAAACAUGUAUUUUUUUUAGCUGAGGACCCAGGUCUAUGGUCAGAAGAGGUGACCAAUCAACACGAGAAACAAGUGUCUAACAAUAAAAGAAAAAAAAAAGUCCAAACCAGAAAGGCACCAAAAUAUACGGAGGGCAAACCUUGCUGAGGAAAUGUUACAUUCGCUCUCGUGAUUACAUAUUCCUGAAUGUAAAACAAAGUUAUACUUAUUUAAAGCUUUAAUUGGGUUGUUUACAUAAUGGAGACAUGGUUUUCAUAAUUGUGCAGGGUUGGCUCAGGCUCUAGUGAUGGGGCUCGAGAAGAUCUAUUUUAAUUGGGCUCAGAAUUCGAAUCAGAGGAACUAUUGUUUAAAAGUUUCUACAAAAUAAUGUAAUCAAUUAAAUAAUUGAAAUCAAUAUUUGUAUCAACAUUUUUACAGCUUUAUUUGGUACCUGGUAUUGUCUCACUGUACAUUAUCCCUUGCAUGCUUUAAGAAAAAGCUGACUUAAUGUGAUUUAACUUAAAGUGAUGUGUGUUUUAUUUGUGAGAGAUCUGUAGAUUUAACUUGAAGGUUCUGCUUCACUCUGUAAUAAUUAGGGAUGCUUUGUAUAUUAUGUAAUUAAAUCCAUGGAUAAUGUUUUGCCACUGCUGCCCUUUUGUACCAUUCAACUCUGAGGAUGCUCAAGCAGGCAGCUGAAUUAAUGGAGGUUCUGUAUCACUUAAUGUCUAUAAGAAUAAACCAUGAAGAGAACUCUGUAGUAUCUGACCAUCACAGUAUAGAAGUUUACAAGUUACCUCACAUCUAGGCUGAAUACAAAUACACAAUACCUCUCACAUACAUGAAGAUACAACUACCCUACAUAAUCUUCUUUAAAGUCCCACUCAGAUUGUUUAUUUUUUUUAAAGUUUUUAUCAGUGGUCUUUAAACUGUAAUUUUAAGUUUUUAGCCAAAAUCACAUUACCUGUGGCAUUUUUGAGGACUUUUCUUCUGCAGAGCUCCAGUAGCUCAUUAGCUAUUUACCUCUGAGUCGUGGGAGGAGACAGCGCUGCCCUGCACACUUCUUCUCGAGUUAGCUUGCAGCCUAACAUUGUUGGUGUAGUAGAAGAAACGGGUAACAUAGGAGCUAUUCAGCUCCUAUGUUACCCGCACUAUUCUAAGCACUAUUCUUUUUGGGGGGCAUAAUGAAAGCUAAUAUCAUAAUUAGCUUUCUUGCGAGCAUUUCAAUCUGCUAAUGCACAUGCUUGUUCCACGAUCGUCCUCUCUAUUUCUCAGAGUCUGGCCUGCAUAGUGGGGCUCCAGGGGGCGGAGCUUGGAUUGGUAACGUAGGAAAUGUCAUUGUAUCCGAUUCUGCCGUUUGGUUUUGCCAGAGAUUCACAGCGAUUUGAAUGCAGAAAUACUCAGAAGUGCAAUUUCACGCUUACUUUUUCUCAUGAUUUGUCCUCUAGUAUCAGAAAAAUGCCAUUUGAACAUGUAAACAGCAGGAAAAACAUGAUUUUCACAGGAGUGGGUCUUUAACAGUUUUUCUUAGUUUUAUAUUGUUUGGCUUUUACUUUUUGAUCCCCUUUUAUAUGCCUCUGCUUUCAUUCCUCUUGUAACACGAUCUGCAUGUCUUCCUUCAGUCACUUAAUUACUAUUCUUCCUACAGUCUUCCUAUUUACUGAACCCUUCCUUUUCUCUUCUCUCUUCCUGCUCUGUUUCACACUCUCUUCCUCUCAAUCCAUCACUUAAGACAAUGCUAUAAGACCCUCGCUUUUUCCCCUCUCACAGUUGCCUUCUCAACACAAUCUCAUUAUUCAUACUCUUUCUCUUAUUGUCAUUCCUCGUGAUGUUUCGGUGUUUACCGUUAUCAUUGUACACUAUUUUAUCCAUCAAGAAAUCAGUUCAAUCCCUAGGAGCGGUGAUUACAUGUGUCGGUCUCCAGCCCCUGCUGAACAGAGAAAUCUUCAGGUUGACUCAAAAUUAGAAUAGAAAAUGUAUAAAAUGAUGAGAAAAAAAUGGAGGAGGAACCUCAGAUGAAUAGUUAUCCUCCCACAGGGUCUGUAGGCUGCUAAAAAUCACUCUGAAUGUGUACAUACACUGCCCAGCCUCCUCCCAAGAGCCUGGGUGGAGUGAAGGCAAGAACAUCCCGUCAAAAGCAAUAAAAAGUGACUUUAUAAAUAAAAACCUGACUCAUCAUCCACCCCUUUUUUCAUUUAUUAAGUUUGAGUAGCUCCCCUGUACUGCAGAUAAACAUUCUCUGAUCAACUCAUGCAAACACUCACCACAUACUUACAACCUCAUGAGUACUCUUCCCUGCUUUACACGUCCUCUUUUGUCACCACAGUCUUUAACCUCACAAUACAUAAAUCUGCUGUUGUUCUUUGAGGUCUUUGUUUGUACGUUCUGACAUGACAGCUCUGUUUAAUCACCCACUCAUUUUGUCAUUCAAUUCUUAAAGAGACACAUUUGUUUGCUCUAAGGUUCCCUCCUCGCAACAGGAACUUGCAUGAGUAACUUGACUGAGUUUAUCAGCUCUGAUGCCGUGCUUAACUUGCUGCUAAUUAUAGCCUGCACCGCUUCCCGGGGAGUGAGAGGAAGCCAAUAUUAUCAAUAGCGCAUAACCUUAAAGCUGGACAUAGGGCAGCUUGUUUGCUGUGCAUAGAAUAUCAUCCACUCCAGUGACACACUGGAGCUAUCAAUGCGAGAAGCAUUGACCAGUACACUGGGAUGAUGGUCUAUAUCUGUAAAAGCAGAGCGUAAACACUGUAGAGAGGACAAGGGUUGGUAUACAAUAGUUGUAGAGAGGUGGUGCACAGGGUCAUGAACCUUUUCAUUUGAUCAUAAUGAUGCUCUAGCAACACAAGUGGAAUAGGAUGUUGCCUUUGUUGCUUGUUUUUUUCUGCUAAAUGGUUGGCCUGUAUUCACUCCUAACUAUACAGACAGUUUCUUAAUAAGCUGUAGCUACAAAGUUUAGUAUCAGUUUAGGUUAAAUUUCAACAGUUUUUGAAGCUAACUAGCUUAUGACUCAUGCUUUUUCAUGCAUGUAAAACAAGAAACAGUGGCGUAGUGUGAUUUUAACAAAAUGCCAAGUCCAGCACUAAGAGUGCAAACAUGGAUUAGGAAAUUGUGUUGCCAAAAAAGCAGACUGAAUGAAGACUUAGUCUUGGCUUUAAGCUAACGUUAGCUCUUUUCCCACUGCAACCUUGCCACAACACCACAUCACAUCCACUCUGUCACAUAUCUUUGUACUUCCAUAAUGACCUGCAAUGGCGUUGUGUGUGUGUGUGUGUGUGUGUGUGUGUGUGUGUGUGUGUGUGUGUGUGUGUGUGUGUGUGUGUGUGUGUGUGUGUUUCUGUACUGCCUUGCCUGAUCCACCAGCUCACAUUGAUCCCAUCUUGCUCCUGUAACAUCUCUGCUACGACCUCCCAUGCUAGCAGGACUAUAUGUCCCACAUCAAGCCUGUGAUGGUGGGACAUGUUUAUUGAAAGCAAAAUAUGACAGGGAGUAAAAAUCACACCUUCAACUGGCAAUGUGACAAGGGCUAUUAGCAGCAGCUGGCAGGCAGCUGCUAGCCAGCAGAAGUUCUGUAUUCAUAUAUCCUAGGACAAUGAAAGGACUCUUUUGUUAUCUUACAGUUUUUGGUCAAAGCUCAAACUUUUGGUAACUCCAAUGAUGUUGUUUGUGUUGAUGUGUAUUUCCAGUGUUUUUGUGUGUUUCUUUUUGUCUGCAUUAAAUUUUUUACUUAAGCUGUUGCUAUCAAAAGUUUUUUUUUUUUUUUUAAUUAUUAUUAUUUUUUAUCAGUUAUAAAUGGUGUAUCAAGUUUGUACAACAGAAAACUCAAUUCAGUUUAAUUGAAGUAAUAUCAGUUGCCACUGUUAACUAUGACACCUACUAUUAAAAAAAAAAAAAAAAGUCACUGUUCAGCUGCUGGUACCUGCCAAUAGUGCAAAACCAGGCAACUGUUCCAGUAUCAGUGACUGAGAGGGGAAGGAGCAUCACUUUUUUAUGCUGUGGGUAUUUUCUUUUCUCAGUAGCACAUGGCUAAUUUGUUACUUACAUAUUACAGCAUUUCUCCUAAUCUCUUCUGAAUUUUAAGUUAGGUUAAGGGCCCCGUCUUCUAAUUUACUAGUGUAUUAGACUCGCUCAGGAUUUCACUUCACUGUAAGAGAUGACAUAACUGGCACCUUUAAGACCUAUUUGCUGCUGGAAAUUUCUCUUGUGGCAGGCACCGGGCUUCUCAAAAUUGCCGUGUAGUGCUGGCUUUCUGUCCAUCAAUUAUUAAUGUGUCUAUGUUCUGCUAGAGACCCUCUUACUUGAAGGAUGUGCUGUCUCAGUAUUAUGGUUAUUAUCUGCUUUUUGACUCAUGGAAGUGUUUUGCUAUUCAGGAGAGUCACCUGAAUUGGGCGAAAGAGACCAUGUAGUAAUUGACAACGCAAUAAAGAUGAGGCCAGGGGGAUGAUGAAUUGAAAAUGUUAAACUGAAUCAAUAAUUCUAUACUUAUCUUAUGAGUAGUUUGACUUAUAAUUCAGUUUUACACAUCAUACUGGAAAGUCUGCAGGCAUCAACUGUGUUAUCAUGUAAGCUCGCUUUCAAGUGUGAGGGUGUGAAUAAGAAACUGAGAAACUUUAAUAAAUCUACCUACCAGCCCACCGCCAAAUUCCAGACUUGAGGCUGACCUGACAUUAUAUUUUGGCAAGUUUUUUCCUACACAAAACAGUGAACAAGUCUAGUCCUGCUUAAAAUAAGAAAUACAAUGAGAGGAGGCAAGGAGCUUAUAUAAGCUCAUUUUCAACACCUCUCAUUGUGCUACACGUAAAGUGUUAAAAACACAAAUUGAAGCCAGCUCUGACACAUGACCACAAACAAAUCUCAUAUCAUUAAACCACUGCCUGACUUGUACGCUCCUUUCAAGAUCUAAAAGAGAAAUGAAGCCCUUUUUUUUCUUCAAGUGCAAAAAGAGUUCAGUUUAGUGGCAAUACAGUAGAAGCUGCACAUAAAAGACUGAACAGUCAGAGGUAUGAAGGAUUUUCUUUGUUCAUCCAUCAUUCACAUAACUUUGUUAAAUGUUGUGGGUGGGUAACAUUAAAUGCACAAUGGGGAGCUUUCAAUGUAUUUCAAAAUAGUCCCACUCUAAUACUGAUGCCUCCUUAUGUCUUUAACAGUCAAAUGAGCGUAUAGGUGAUAAGACAGAUAUUUUUUAUGCUUGAGUCGGUAUGUAGGACUCGCCAAGAAACUCUGUUGGUCAAGUUUGCCUGUGAGUUAUCGAGCGGGUUGAGUUUUUUCUCCUUGGAUAAUUUUCAAUAUACAGAAUGUGUUGAACUCAUGGCUAAAACUAGAAGAAGGAUUAGCAAAAGAUGUUUGUUUUAUGUUCAAGUGUAGAUGGUGAGACUCCCCUGCUUAGUAAAAGAGCAAAACGGCUAUGAACUGGAUUUAUUUUUUACACAUUUACUGGUCUUUGAGGGCAGAAGUGUCAAGCUGUGUACUUUUUAGCUGAAAAUAUAUUGGGAGACUGGGGCGGACAGCAUAGGAAAGUGGGGACUACAGAAACCAUCAUCCCAUGCUUGCCCAUCAUUCUUUGUGCUUUGCUUUCUGCCUGAGAUGUAGUACAGGAAAAAAUGGUGCACACCAGCACCAGUGACAACAGGCAGAAAGAUUCGGCAGAAACUUUUAGAUCUGAUGUGUGGAAGCAUUUAAGUUUAAGAAACAACAGCGUUUCCUUUUCUUUAACAAUUGCUAAUUGCUAACACCUUCUAACAGGAGAGCUGGAUAUAACCUGUGAAGUGUGUGUCACAUCUAUCAUGAAUAGGCACAAGAAAAGUAACAAGUUUCUCUUUCUGUUCAACUCAUCAAAUAUAAGGACAUGGUUUUGUGUUGUCAGGAUGAGGGUGCACAGUGCAACUCUGUGCAACAGAGAGCGCAAAUGCUUACCCCUCAUGAGGGGUAUCCGCAAUAGAUUUUUAUUGGAUACCCCCUCAGGUUUUAAAAUAAUUCAUUUAUUAGGUCAUUUAAUCGCUGGAAUCAUGCUUGGAAUACCAGUUAAAAGUGGUACCAACAGUAAACUUAAAUGAUUGUUACUUAGUUAACUAGAGGACGACCAAAACCGACAAAGAGCUUGUCUUUUUAUUGAGUUUGACUUUGAUUAAGAGACAUAAAACAUUCAUCAAAUGUACCUUGUAUUUUUGUAGUCGUAACAAAUAUCACAUUGGCUUAUUUUGGUAUGCCCUGGCUCACUACCAAAAAAAGGCAGUCUUGAGAUUUUAAGUCAACAAAAAGCUGAUAUUGCCUUUCCAGUACUUGGCUUGUUAAACUCUUUGGUCUCUUUCCCAGCUAAAUCAUACUGUACUGAGGAGACGCAUAAUGGAGGAUCAGAUAAGGUCAUAGUUUUCCUUUGCUGAGGAAGUCUUCCCUGAAUCUUUUGGGAUUCUGAGACACUCCCUUCAGCAACUUUUUGCUUUAUUUCAUCCAUUACUGACCGUUAGGCAAAUGCAACACAUCGGCUACGCUCUGCCUCGCUCUCUGUUUUUCCUGCUGGGCAUACUGUGUCCUACUUGGAAUACAUUACACACAUGGAUGCAGACCAUUGGCGGAAAAGAAAGAGGGAACAAUUUCUCUCUAAAUGAUAUUUGAAAAUAACCAAACCUGAAUGCAACCUGGGGCUGGACCAAACUGCACCAAACACCCCCAAACUUGAUAGUAUGUUCAGCUUACCUUUGGGCUGGAGUCAUUUUGCAGGGGAAAUAGAGAUCCACUAUUGGCAUCCUUGUAUUAAAGCAGUGUAAAUGAGCGCCUUCUGGAUUUCACAUAAAUUGCGUGAUAAAAAUCUCUUAGAUAAGCAGGGCAAAAAUGACUUGCCUAUUUCUUUGUUCAUAUCUGAAGACAGAAAGCUUUCAAAGCUCUCUCCCCAAAGACUUGCUUUUAAGCUGCUGCACUAUUGUACUUCAGAAAUGGCCUAUACAAGUCUUAUCCUGUGGUUUUAGUGGAAUUUUUUUUCCUCUGGUGGAUUGUGGAGCACUCUACAGGUUUGCUAAAUUUUUCCAGCGCCGCAACAUUUUCAUGAAUAUAUCUAUUACUGUAUAGAUGUUCAUUAUAGAGCUGCAGGAAGCACUGCAGGGAAACACUGCUCUCCUGUAGCCUUUUCCUCAAGAUGAAAACACUACUGGGCUACGCUGCUGUUGCCUUGGAAACCUGGUCACUCUCACUCUUUUAUCCACACUCUUCACCACUCGCUUCAUUAAGUGCAUUGCUGCUGGCAAUUAGAAUAAAACCAGCGGCAGGGCUGGCUGUCUUGAAAUGCAGUCUCCAAUUAAACACUUUCAAAUAGCAAUGUUUCUUCAAGCUACAUCUGCUCUCUAUAUAAUAAACCAUGCACCUGGGAGUGAUGCUUCUUAAAAGACUUCACUAUGCAUGCUAUACCAAUGAAGGACUUCAAAAUCCAUGUCUUUUAGCACCGUGAAUACAAAUGUAACAUGGAUCAGACACUGCCUUGUUGCUCUGAUGCCCUUUUUUUCGAGCCUGCUCUGUGUUCAAAUAAGCAAAACAACAUUGCAGACAUUGUCAUGGUUAUCUCACUGGAGGAGAAAGAAAGCCUGAGUGAUCAAUCCAGAUCUGCAUCCGUGUGUGCGCUCUAUUAUUUCAAGUACCAGAGGGAGAAAGAGAGCGUUUUUUUUUCUUCUUGCUUCUCCACUCAAGGCCAUUUCUAUACAAAUGAUGUAUGUGGAGUGAAUGAUGCUUACAAGUCUUUAAGUCUGAUCACACUCAGCGAUUUAUUUUAGCACCCAGCAUUUUUACUUUGAUUAAUUGAGGAUGUUAUGACUGCAUUAAAAUUGAUGAAGUAAAUUUAAGUGAAUCAUCAUCAUCGCAGGACAGUUUUGCUUUAAGUGAAUAAGCACUCUGCAGAAGUGCACUUGGUAUGUUUCAUGUACAACAUCAUCAGUAAUUUAAUCUUGGCCCUGGGUUGCUCUCACACAUACUAAAAACUGAGGAAAGAGGAAAAAAUAAAAAAAAGCUGGAUGUGUUUCAGGCAGCACUGAAAAGCAGCCAGUAAACCUCACCCUUACUCAGCUGAGCCUUCUUUGUAUCACUCAUUUAACACCCGAUUAACUCCCACCUGAGCACACGCUCGGUCAUUACUGAAUUACCUACAAGCUAUCCAUUCGCAUUGACAGACCUUUUGUAAUCAGGCGACAAGCCCUUCGACAGAGUUAGGUCAGACGUGAUGGCGGAUAUCAGACCGCUUUAAGUUAAGCAUAGACUUGACAUUGCAGUAGAUCAUAAAGUCUUAACAUUUUCAGAAUAUCUAUUAAAAAGAUAAAUUAUUGAAGCUAUCUUUUUGACGCUGUAAGACACUGACCCUUAAACCCAUAAACUAAAUUAAUCUAUCGUAACCUGGAAGAAAGAUUCAACUCCUGCCAAAUCUACUCCACAAAGUGCGCCUUUAGACAGUCCUCAGAAUUUAAGCUGUCAAUCUCUGUUCCUCUAUGAAACCAUCAGAAAAUAAAUUUCAGAGGUAAUAUCGUCACUUCAAUAAAUCUUUGUCUAAAUAGAGCCAGCGCCUGAGAGUGUUCCAGAAUUAAUUCAAAGACGAGGCACACAGCCACCGAGAUCGAGGACUUGUUAUGAUGCGACAGCCCUGAGUGAGAUUGAAUUUUACUUUACUGUAAUGAUUUGUUUUACAAGGGGAAAAACCCAACAUAAUAACUGCGAGGGUAAAAGGACACAAGGUUUUCUUUAAUCAAGAAAAUCAAUAAAAAAUAAAUAAAAAAUCCACAUUUCUUCAGUAAACAAGAGCCACAGUCAAUUAUUUGCUUUGAUGAUGUUAAAAGUUAUUUGUCAGCCAACAGGUCAGGAAUGUUGUUCUGAAAUUAUUCAGCAAGUAAAACCAAAUGUCUUAUUUUGCUUCAAGGUUUGUUGUCUUACAAACAUAUCCAUUUAAAACGGAUGUUACUUUUACUCCAUGUUAAACUGGGCAUACACUGUACCGUUUCAUAAAUGUGGUUUAUGAAUGAAAUUAAAUGAAUGAAGGUCGAUUCAGUUAAUUGGGGAUUGUCAAUCAAGUUUCCUCUGAUACAUUCACAAGCAGGAGUGGAAGUCAGAGAAUAUGACCUUAACAAUAAUACCCUUUUGAUGUGUCAACUAAGCUUGAAAACAUAGAGGCUUCAUAAAGUAAAUACUUGCUGUUGCAUUGGAUUGCCUGAUUUCGCACUAGUGAUCAUAACACCAUGGCUGAUUGCUGAGUAUUUGAACCAUCGUGUUGCCACAACAUGAUGUCUCAACCAGAGAUUUCAUUUAUUAAAACUAUUCAAUUAAAAAAUCUUCCAUCACUGUUUCUGAAACCACAAAAUCAUCAUCUUUUGGAUGAGAAAAUAAGUGUUGCAGUGGAAUACAAGCUGACCAUAAUUAGACUGAAAUUAUUGCACAUUAAAAAAAAAACUAUUGGUAACACUUUUCAAUAACCAUAAUUUAUAAAUGGUAAAUAGACAGUUUAUUAAUGUUUAAUCAUCAUUUAAAAACAGCAUAUAGACCAAUUUUAAAUGGCAAAUAGAUAGUUUAUUAACAUAAGUUAAUAGUUACUUAACCAUAAACAAGCAAUGAAAUUAUGAUAAUUUUCAUUAAUUAUUAAUGGACUAUUUAUUAAAUGUUUAUAUAGGGUUUAAAUGUUGGUUGUAAAACAUCUAGAUUAAAAUGUGUGUCAGUAGCACUUCGUAAAUGGUUAAUACUUGGUUUUUAAACCAUCUGUAAACAUUACUUAGAUGGUUAUUGUAAAGUUAGGGUUAGGGUUAGGUUUUUAAAAUUGUAAAAUUUACAAUUUAUAAGUGGUCUAUAUGAUAUUUAUAAAUGAUGAUUAAACAUUAAUAAACUAUCUGUUUACCAUUUAUAUGUUAUGGUUAUUGUAGUGUUACCAAACUAUUUUCUUUGAAAUGAAUUACUGUCAUAGGUACACUAAAUUUCAUCUUUAGGCGGUAAAAUCCAAGAAUAUGAUGUUUGUGACACUGACAUGUUGUUUUAUCAGUGGCAGGUAAAUUUCCAUGUUAAUUGGAACAGCAGGGUUAAUAUUGUUAAUAUAUAAUAAGCUGCAGAUUAAUAUUACACGGAUGUUUUUAAUGGGAAAUAUUGAAGCAUUGCAUUCUGCGUAUGCAUCACCCCGAAAAGCUUCAAAGAUAUCCGUGACAUGAGUGUUUCUGUGUUGUUCAUUCAUGGACAGUAAGUUAUUUCAUUUCUCGCUGCAGAGCUCCGGCUCCCUCAUAAAAGAGACAAAAUUUCCACUCCACUUAAUUAAUAAAACAACUUUAUUUCCUUUGACAUGAGCCAAGCCUUGUCCACAGGCACCAGUGAGCCCCCUGCACCUCCCCCCUCAUGCACCUGCUGGCUCUUAGGGUCGCGGCUGACGAGUUAAUGCGGCUCAGGUGUUGUAAUUGAAGAUUGCUACCAGCUGGUUGCGGUGUAGCUUGGCAGGGCGAGGCAUAGCCGAGCUGGCUGGCUGUCGGGCUGAACAGGUGAGCGGUGCUUCAGUGCUGCUGGCCUCUGUUCCACAACAAGCCCCUUGUUCAUGAAGAGGCACUCAUGUCUCCAGGCGCCACAUGCACAUAAUAGCUCUAACGGUGAAAUAAAGGGAAAAGAAUGAGUGCUUUAUGGAAUAUUAAUCUGUAUUUGAAGAUACUCUAAAAUUAAAAAAAAACAAACAGCUAACCUCAUUAGCAUCAUCUCAUUGAAACAUUUAAAGUAGGAAGAGAAUAGAACCACAAUAUCAAUAUUAACAAUUUUUUGCUGUCCAAAUACUUCCUGGGCUGACUGUAGCACCAAAUAUUCACUUAGUUUAAUGUAAACCUCCCACACACUCUAUGGCACAAGAGGUGGGAACGAUCCAUAUUAGAUCACAUCAGCCACAAAAUCUCUUCCAAACUCUUCACAAGCUUACUGCUAGCCAGGGAGAGCUCACUCACUGCCUCUUUGUAGCCUGAAAGGAUACAUUUAAUGCUUUCCAUUUACAUUUCUAAACCUGAUAAACAUGACAUUUAAAGGAGUAAUCUAAUAAGCCAGCACUACAGGUCCAAAUGGAAUUAGCACAGUUUGCCUUCGCCGAAGAUGUAUUCAGAAUUUACACAGACGUCUUAAGGAUGUCUAAACUACAUUAGCAGUUUCUCCGUUCCCUCACACUCAUUUCCAUUAGCAGCGUAAGCUGCGCAUUUAUAAUACCUUCUCCAACUGCAACAACUAAUAAAGGCUCUCGACAUCAGAGGUCAUGGUGCGAGUUUGCUUUUCUUCUCAAGUGCCCUCUUGAAUUUCAGUUGGAGUUGAAAGUAGAGCCAAAUCUAUUACAAAUAUGCACAUAAACUUAAAAAAUCUUGGUGUUAAAUUCAGACCUGACAGUUCUAUUUAGUAAGAAUAAGUGAAAAGUGUCCAAAAAAGCAAUAAGAAGCAUAUCAAUGACCUGCCUUAUGCAACUAGACAAGGAGUCAGGCACACUCUGUACAUGAUUUUAAAAUAGAAAAUACCCUUUCUCUUUUUUUUUUUUUGUGAAGCUGCUUUUGCUGUUCUGCCAGAGGGACACAGAAUAUGUGAGCAAAGACAAAGCAAAUCUAGCUUUCUUCCUCAGCAAAAUGCUGCAGGGAGAGAAGUCCACAUUUAGUGGUUGUGGGACAGUUUGUGUAACCGCCGGCAUUCCCUGCAGCUCUCAAGAAAUUUGAAAUCGAUCAUUGGAUUUACACACUGUGGCACCUGGGUGGGGAUGGGUGCAAGCCAGCACCUUAUGCCUCUCAAACAACUUCAGUGGCACACUGCGCCAUGAGGGGCAGCAGCACUCAGCAGAGGGAGACAAGUCAAUAAACAGUUUCUUGGGCCACUGGGUUGUUUGUCAAGAGCAAUUACAGGAAAAAAAAAAAAAAAAAACAUUUUUGAGACUGAUGUUAUCCAGUUCAAACCUGGUAUAGAUUGGAAUGGAAAGUAAACUGAAAAGAUUGGAGGAUGGAUUGGCGGGGGAAUGUGUGGCACUUAAUUCUCUCAGUAAUACGAGCUGCUGUAAAAGACCACAGAAAGGGUCAGAAUAGAGAAGAGGGGGUAAAUGAAGACAGGGGCAGACAGGGGGGCAUGAAAUAUGCAUGUUCGUCUUAAAGUAGGAGAAAAGGAUACCAAUGAAGCCAAAAAUAGGCAAAUAAAAAGUUACUACCCUUGAGAUAUGCUUAAGAUUCAAAUAUGGGAUGCUCAUUGCUCGAUGAAAUGCAGAAAAAAAAAGGAUAUUGAAAGGUCACAGUGUGUUCCUCCAUUAGGAUUUACAAGCGGGGGAAAUAACAUGAUGCAUGUAAAGUCAUCUGAAAGAACAGAGGAAAUCUCAUGGCAAAUGAAAUGUUAAAGAAGAGCUAUGUUCAGAACACUGUAACGCCUGAGGCCAUUACAGUCUGUUGUUGGAAGAUAGUCUUGCCUUGUUACAUUGUACUGGCAGACAAUUCAUAAUUAAAUAUUAAGUCUAAUUAGCACAGUCUUCCUCGGUGACUUAUUAAUGUCAGGGUAAGCUUCAGCUACUUCAAAUUGGUGAAUUUAGUGACGGAUUUGUGUAAAAAUAUCAAUAGUUGCAGAAAUAAAAGUAGUUCUUUCCUGUAACUUAGUAUGUGCACUUCCUGUGUCAUUGACUGCAAUGCUAAGGGGUUUCUAGGUAUUUGACAAAGAAAGCUGUUUCAACAUUUGAACUGUUUCAUCAUGUUUAAUCAAAAAAAAGGAGGAAAGCUUGUUAGAGAGUUUUACAGGGGAAUAUUAGCUUUCCUUGCAACAGUUCUCUAAGUGCAGAGUUCACAACCCAAUCAUCUGACACUUAAAACUAAUCACCUGCCUCACACAAGCCGCUAACUUUUUCACAGAGGCCUCCAGGUGAUGGAAUAAUUGGUUUUGGUUCACUUUCUUCCAGGAGAUGUUGUAGUUUCUUUUUGUUUUAUGUGCCUCUCCUCACUCUAAAGGUGUUUAGGUUUAGGUGGUGAUUGGAUCUUGUGCAAUAUAGUGAUAUAUUGCAGGCAGCGUGAUCACUCUGCUGAAUGGUAAGAGCCAACUGUCACUUAGGCAGAUCCAAAUAAUUGAUUGGCUCAUUAUCCUAACUCCGUAUUAUCUCUGUGAGAGACUUCACGUCACUUUGUUGCAGCAACCUUUCAUUUCACCGGGGGGGUUUAUUGCUGAAUUAAUUUGUGUGCUUACCAAUCUCAUAACUAACACACUGCACUGCUCUGAUUCAGUCCAAUGAUGAGUGCCACAGUGCUCGAUUUAAGCAUUAUUCUUUAAUACGGGAUAUUCGGGGGGCUGGAUAAAAUGUCCAGGAGGCUUUGGAGCAGACAACCAACCGCAGUCCAACAUUUAUUGAUUAACACUAUCUGUGCUGAGAUGUGCUUUCAGUGAGGAUCAAUACUAGAUAGUAGCAAAGUGUAAAUAUCAAUGUAUUCAGGACCUUUUAGGUGCUAUUUGCUAACUUACUACAGUACACUAUCACCCAAAAGAGCAGUCAGCGCAGAAAAAUUGAUGUUAUUUCCAUGUGGUGUGAAAAAAAUCUUAAGCAAUCACACUGUGGCGUGUUUUUUGUAUAUUUUGACACUGCAGAGCUCCCUGUCUAAGCCUUUUACAGGUCUGCCACUGGCCCCCCUCACAUAUCUAUUGUACAGUAAUCACUAUCUGAUUGUAAUCAGCUGACCAUCUCCCCUGAAGUGACAGACUGUAACCUUUAGGAGGAAGUGACCCAUCUCCUCUGAGACAGGCCGGUGUCGACAGAAAAUUCACAGAGACCAAGUCUUUCAAGAAGCAGCCAAAAGGCCACCAGCUUGUCGAGGUGGGGGUACGCACACAGCUUAGGGAUGUCAAACCCUCAGAGCUCUGCCUGUUCACGGCUUGAUAAUUGGUCAUCUAUCUGCUCUCCUGUGAUCACCAGUUUAGUUCCAGCUCUGUGGGUCAGGCAUUUAUUUCUGGUCUCAUUGCUGCUUGUUUGUUUCCGGUUAUGUAGUCAGCUUUUUACUUCUGGUCCUGUGAUCAGAGAUUUAUUUCUGGUGCUGCAGUCAGUGGUUUACGACUGGUUUCAAGGACAUUGCAGAACUGCAUCCAUUUUCUGCUUGAUUUUAUUAAUUGGCUUUCGACAUAUUUAACAAAGUGGAAAUAUUGUAUCAUGGUCAGAUAUCAAAACUAAAAUAGAGUAGACAAUAUCCAGAGACAUGGCAGUGGUUUUGCUGACUGCUGAAAGCUGAUGUUGAACUAAACUGCACUGCCUGGAUAGCUGGAAGCUGGAGUGUAUGGCUUCAUGUUUAGCUUGGAGCUGAACAGCAUAACUGGCUUAACCUUGUAUGAAGGAGCAGCCAAAGGAUAACUAGAAAGGGACAGAGGGGUCAAGCGAUGAAAGGUGCUGAAAUGAGAGUUGUAGUGUUAGGACUUAUAUCAGCUUAAGUGUAAGAAGGAGGUGAAGAGGAGUCAUUUAAGUUCUCACUGGGGAGAACAUCAUCAACUGAGGGCUGAGCCUCAUAAGCUCUGCUUUUAACUUGAACUAUGGGGUCUUAUGGUGCUAUUAUUGUGGCAAAACAAUUUCCAAAUGGGUGCAAAGAUUCACAACUGCGCAUAUCCAUCCACAAAGCUGUAAACUGAUCCACAAAUGUGUACAUAGAUCCAUAAAUGCGUUCAUAGAUCAAUGAAUGUGGGGACUGAGCAAACCCAAGGCCUCGCACAGGUUGAUAAUAUAUUUUCUUACACAUUUGUGGAUCUUAAGCGAGGUAGGACUGUAACAAAAGUUUUGUGUUAACAAUAGGGGUGGAAGAAAAAAUCGAUACAGCAUUGUAUUACAAUAUUUUGUCUAGUGAUAUAUCGUAUCAUCUCAUUUACUAAGUAUCGAUUUUUCAAAUUAACUGCUAAUAUGAAGUCAAAUCUAUAAUAAUGGAAAAAUAAAAUCAAGUGUUUGUCCAGUUAGGUUGGCAGAGGUAUCUUAAUAGAGCAGGAGAAAGUUUGUUUAACAACAUGAAAAAAAAUACUAUGUAAGACAAACAUAAAGGAAAGACAAAUGCUAAAUUAGCUUUGCAGUUAAAAAAAUGAAAAAGUAGUAAUAUAUACUGUAUCUCAAUACUCACUGUAUUGCAAAAUGUUAAAAAAUCUCAAUAACAUUGUACAGUGACCAGAGUAUCGUGAUACUAUUGUAUCGUGGUGCUACUAGUGAUUUCUAUCCCUAGUUAACAGACAGACAAUUGAGUGGCCUGCCUUAAUUUUAACUGAUGAACUUAUGGGUAUUUUCAGGUUUUGUAUAAGAAAAAAUUAGACUUAUUUGACUUCAUAUACAAUCACAAAUUGGUCCACAUUUGUAGAUCUGCAUUUGUGGAUAUGUGGACACAUUUGUAAAUCUUAUAUACAUUUGAAAAGGUUUUACAUAUUAGUGGAUUUAUGUACGCAGUUGUGAAUUUUUGUUUGCAUUUGCAAAUAAUUCUGCGACAAUAAUAGCUCCAGGGUCUGUGAUUAGGACAAACAUGACUUAGUUUUGGUUCAUGGAAAUAUCUAUCCUUGAAACAUUUUGCAGAUUGCUGUCAUCCAGGAAGAGACAAAUCCAAAAUAAAUCUUUUGAGUUCUUGAAUUUGGUAAAGAAGAGAUUUAUGUUACUUCUCUGUUGUGUUAAUUAUUAAAGAUAAAAAAGUAUAUCAUCUGUGUGCUGAAUGUCAUGAGGCACUCUGUGAUCGCCUCGUAGGGGUUACCCACAAACAAGCGGCUGCUGGAAGAGAGUGGGUGAGUUGUGUUUAGUCUCUUUGCUAAAGAAAUCAGGUAAAGCUAAAAAGAUGUUUGGUGGCUAGUACUAUGGCUGUUGAUGAAGUUAGGUGCUGUUCUGAGCAUUAUCUGUGGCUAUAGAGUGGCUUUUUGGUUGAGGUAAGCGUGGAGCCAUCGCCUGCUGUGUAUUGCUAUCGUGCGGUUGUUACUGAAGUUGGUACACCUAGAGAAGCAAGCAGCCGGCAACAUUCAUCUCCUGAGGGGAUGACUAACUUCGUGUUAUGGUGUGUUUGACCCUAAGUUAAUUUUACGCCAGAAUUUCCCUUUAAAGUAACACAGUAUAUACUACAGGUAGUGAAAACAACCCUUGUUUAUUUGUGUGUGCAUAUGCAUAUUUUGCGCCACCCUCGCAUAACCUAUUAACCAUGCUAGGCCACCCAAGUCAGAAAAGUAUGGACACACCCCAGGGUCCAGAUUCUGAGGUUUUGUUUCCAUCAGAGGGUCUGUUUUGGGAGAAAAACAGGACUUCAGACCCUUCCAGUCGACUUUUAUGUCUGUCAGGAGGCUUUCUUUUUGAAACUUCUGUCUGUGAGCGUGUGUGUAUUCUUGGUCGGACAAACCUGAUAGAGAGAAUGAAGUUCUCCCAAUAUUGAGUAAGGGCACAGAGUUACAGCUGCUGUCAAUCAAAAAUAGUGAUGUGUGUGUGGAUUCCCAAAAUGUGGUCAUUGUUACAGGCUCCAGAUUUGCUCAUGUAUCAGUGUGUUGGAAUUGUAAUGCACAAGAAUCUACCAACCACAGCUGAUUUUGUCUGUGAAUUUUGAUCCAGUAAAAAUAUGUUAGAAGAAAAAUGCUUCAAUCACUGAUCUAAAACAAUAAUUGAACUUCUGAGCUUACCUUUUUUUAUCAAAGAGACAAAUGGAGGGAGCAGUUUUAAUGCUAAAAAGUUAAAGUGAUGAUAAAUAACACCUGUGUAAACUUGGCUUGAAGCUGCUGUGAGACACAGUAGUCUUUGUAGCAGGGGUCUCACAGAAAUGUCAAUCACGUGGCUGGUGAACACCAUGGAGAUCAGAUAAGUGGUCUAAUUAGCGAAUCUCAAUCAGCUGUGUGUCCCCACCUGCAAUUAAAGGUUGCCAUAGUGACGAUAACCGCUGAGUGACUGCUGGAUAUGAUGGUUCAUUUAUUGGAGAUUAACCUGGAAGACACUCCUCACUCCUCAAACUCCAGCGUGCUUCUCAAGACUCUACUACCCAUAACCUUUCUUUUUAUUGUGAAAGCUUGGGGUUCUGUUGAGUGUGUGCUCAAAAAUAUGAGUUCAUGGUGUCAGAAACAGAGCAAGCUGAAAAGUCAUUUUCUCUUGAUUUUUUUUGGGUCUAAGUUUGCACUGGAUUAUAAAGCAAAUGGACCGUGCUCCUGUUGCUUUGUAGCCUGGCAACUAGACUAACCAGCAAGCUUGUAUUUUAUUUGUUCUGGCAGACUGGCCUAACCUUACAUUCAUACAGAUUUCUGGGAGGUUAGGCCAGUCUGAAAUGUUUACCCAAUAUGGAGCUGGUCAAGCUGUUAGGACAUAAAAACUUGGAGAAUCUGAAAUGAAACCACUGUGUAAGAAACUUGUGAAUGUCUUCUGCUCGGUAAAAAAAUGGUAAUAAUUAGUACCUUGUAGAAUUAGUGGACAUAUAAUCCAGCAGUCUAACACCAUGUAAAAAAAAAAAAAACUGCUGCUCUGAUAGGCAUUUUGUUUCACAGGAGUAAAGAGUUUAGAAAAUCAGUGUAAAGAAUAAACUUCAAUGUCUUCAAAGAGCUGAAACAUGAAGAAAUGUCUACGUCAGACGACUUUGAUGUUUCAAAAAUAUGUAAUCUUAUAUCUCGGCAGCUCUGUCUCCUAGAAUGUGAUUAAACUGUUAUUCGUAUUCUUAUUUUCCACCACAACAGUAGUGCAACCGGCUUUUAAAAUUAUGUCAGCAUGCAAAUAGGCAAAGCAUGAAUGCAAUACUGACUUAAAGGGAUAUUCCGGCGUAAAAUUAAUGUAGAGUCAAAUACACCAUAACACCUGGUUAGACACCCCCUCGAGAGAUGAGUGUUGCCUAAACAGACUAAACACAACUCACCUACUCACCGAGUUGUGUUUAGUCUCUUUGCUAAAGAAAUCAGGCAAAGCUAAAAUGAUAUUUGGUGGUUAGUGCUGUGGCUGGGACCCUAUAUGUACUGUUGAUGAAGUUAGUUGCUGUUCUGAGUAUUAUUUGUGGCUAUAGAGUGGCGUUUUGGUUGAGGUUUGUUCAUGGCUUCUCAGGCCGCUCUGUAUUGCUAUCAUGCGGUUGUUACUAAAGUUGGUAUAAUGAGAGAAGGAAGCGGUCGGCAACAUUCAUCUGUGGAGGGGGUGUCUUAACUCGGUGUUAUGGUGUGUUUGACCCAAAAUUAAUUUUACACUGGAAUAUCCCUUUAAUGACCAGCGCUGGCAGUAUCUCAAGGCACCAUUGUCUGGGAUCAACAAACUGGUUCGUGUCUGAUUUCAUUACAGCAACAUAACCAUUAAUGUUGAAAAUGAUACUGUGGACAUGUCCAAAGUAUUUCACAAGACAGCCAUUUUGGCGGGAAAUCCAAAAUACACUGCUGAUAUCUCCUUCACAGACAUGUUUACCUCUUCGUACACCAAUCAACAGCAUUUCUUCACUCUGUUUAUAGGAAAACUAAGUCUUUCCUUUUUACAUUUCCUCCACAUGAUUUUGCUUUUGCAAAAGAUGAAUAUGUAAUCCAUGAAAACUAGGCUUGAAUAGGUGGUAUUCAAGCAUAUUUUCGUGUACAUACAUGUCAGUAAUUUUUUUGCUUUCAUGCCAGCAGAUGCGCAUGGUUUCACCGUCCCUUAACAGUAUGAGCCCUUUCAAGUACCUGCCCAGCUGAGACUAUGAAAUGUAAAUGGAAAAGUAAAGUGCAUGGAGAAGUUUUGUUGCAGUCAGUGAGCUCUGUGUGUGAAAUGAGUUUGAGUGGGACACCCUCGUGUGCAAUUUUGAAUGGAGCCAUGGGAGCGGAGUGAAAUCAUGGCAGGAUGAGUCAGCUCUGGAAAUGCAGAGACAGAAGUAAGUAGUACCUUACUUAUUGCUUGCAGACGGUGUUGAUGUCUCUGGAGGAAAAGAUCCAGAUGACAGAAACACCUCGAGGCCGUUUUGGAAACUCGGUCAAGAAUAUGAAGUAUGGCUAAUCAGCAAUGAAGGUACCACCAAAUUGGUAGUCUCCUUGAAUAUAUCUGGGAUGAAUAUUGCACCAGCAUGCUAAAAAAUAUUGAUCAUCUGAUUUCAGAUAUUGCUUGUCUUUAGUAAACAAGUUUAUUCAACAUACUGCUUCAAAAUCAAUGACGGGAAAGAUUUCAAUGUUCCUGUUACACAAAAUGAUUAAUUUGGCUCAUAAGAAUUGCAAAAUGCUUUCAAGGAAGGCUAAGCUAUUUGAACUCCCUUUGAAAGAGGAUCCCCUGUCAGGAAGAUACCUUGGUGCACUCACCCAGAUAGUAGUGCUUAAGUUACUAAUACAAGUUUGUUUUCAGUGGAGUCUAAGUGUAACAUAUGAAUACUCAAUUUCUAUGUGCAAGCAAACCCAUCAGUGCUUAACUUUGAUAAAAGACCACUGAUCAGACAGCAUUUAUAGUCAGCUGGACGUGAGUUUCAAGUGUCUUUAAUCAAUAGUUUUAUUACAACAAUGGAUCAGAUGUCUAUGUAAUGUGAAGAAAUCAUUUGUGGUAGCCAGGCUGCAGCUCUAAGAAGCUUUCCAGCACCUCUAAGAACAUUGAUUUAGUUUCGAAAUACAAAGAAGCACUUGAGCAAGAAAAUAUUUAGGUUUGCUUUUCAACAGAACAUUGUCAGCUGUGAUGAUAGCGGUUGAAAUUAUAAAAACUAAGACAAAAUAAAUGGGUAUGUAUUAGGGCUGGGCGAUAACAUGAUAACGAUAUAUAUCAAAAAUGAAUUUCCCUCAAUACCAAUAUAAAACAUGGUCAAUAUGCUUUUUGAUAGUCAGCAUUCUGCCAUGUUUUGGUAGACUAUACGAAUAGCCAAUGAAAAGGGGAGUUGCUUUGCGCUUAACCAAUCGUGCUGAAUUAAAACCAAGUAGCUAACAACUGCGUAGUAGCAGGCUGCAGCUACAGGCAACCAUAGCACUUUAACACGUGAAGCUGACAGCACUGUUGAUAAGAAAAAAAGAAAAUGAGUGCUACCCCCCAGCAGAAAUGCAGAUGAAGGCUCAACAGAUGACGACAUCGUCAACAACACUGGCAUGAAAACGUCUUGUGUUGUGGAGGUAUUUUGGUUUUUUGAGGUCAGACAUGAAGGAGAGUAAUGUGCACUGCAAAUUAUGUGGAGUACAUGUUCUUGCAAAGUUGGGGAGUACCUCAAAUCUUUUUCACUACCUGUAGCAGUGCCAUGCGGUAGAGCAUGCAUAAUGCGGUUAAAGGUUACAAACCCUGAGUGGACCAAGAAGCCCAUGGCGCCUAUGCAGCAGAAACAGCCGACGAUUCAGUUUGCUUUUUCUAGCGCAAUGCCCUACAACAACAAAACGUCUAAGAGACAAAAAGACUCACAGAUGCAGGAGCUUAUUGUAUUGGAAAAGACAUGCUACCAAUAAGCACUGUUAAAUUUCAUUUUAUACCGAUAUCACCUGAUAUGAAAAAAAUAUAUUGUGACAAACUUUUUCCCAUAUCACCCAGCCCUAGUAUGUAUACUGUAUAUAUACAGAGAGCACAGAGCGCUCUGCAGGGGUUAAAGACAUCAGCAUAAACAGACAAAAUGGUUAAACAAUAAAACUGAGGUCUUCUCCCAACCAAAAAAAGUGUCCACAAUAUUUUGGGGGGCUUUUCCAAACACAACACAGCAGGUUUAAUAGACAAAGCUGCGGACACCAUUUUUUACAGUCUUUUCCCCAGGUCUCUUCCACAGCUCUCCUUCCUCCCAACAUCAACACAUCAGUCAUGAUCAUUGAUUGGGUACAACUAUGUAGUCUGUCAUAUCUGUCCCUAUGUCACUGCGCAGAUUUAUGACAAAGAGAUCUGUCACAGUGACCAUGGGAACAGACAAAAACACUGUGUAGUCUGACCUUGGCAAUAGUACAGUGCUAUACUGUUAAUUGUCUUGCAAACCACAAAUUGCAUUUGACAUUUAAAGUCAAAUUGCAUUUGGAAAAGUUGAUAUUAACACAGUAAAAACAUAGUCACCCAAUAAUCAAAAUUCAUCCAAGACAGCUGGGAUCCAAAUAUAUCUAGCUUGUACAGGCACAGCUCCCUCACUGCCAAAUAAGGGGGAAGGGUUGUGAAUUGUUGCAUUCACAUGUGGUUGAAAAGAGGAGUUGUGGGUAAAAGACCUGUGAUUCUCUUCCAACACUUCACCACAGGAGCCAUUUAAUUAUUUUGUAUCACAUCAUCUCUUGAUGAUUAGUAUGCUAUUGAGGAAACAGACUGAUGGUGAAUGUGCACCCUAAUAUACAGUGUCAGCUUUUGCAUCAGUUAUGGAUAAUGGAAGUUUUGUAUUCAGUGGAUUUAAUAUAAUGUAAAAAUCCUCAGAUGGAAGCUCAGCAGCAAUAUUAUUCCACACUUUAAUGAGUUGUGAAAGGUUUCAUUUGUGGUGACCAGACUGCAGCUCAGAGUAGCUUUUUACCAGCCUUUAGGUCACCGGUUUAGUUGUCAGGUAAUUAUGAUCCUUGUGAUCCACUAAAAGAGUUGGGCCCCGGUUUUGUCUACAGAUGGCAUCCUCUUGGUGUUUAAAGAGGAUAAAGAGUUGGAUAUUUUCCUCGGGAGUCGGUAAAAGCUGACGACUUCAAAAUAACGUUAUUUGUGCUGUGUACUGCUGCAGUAAACAGUCUAUGGUUGAUUUAAUUACGCAUUUACUUAUGUAGUUAUCGACUAAUUACAAGGGUCAGUGCACGUUGAUGAACUUGGGCAUGUAAAUGCACCAGAUUGUAUCCAUGGGCUUUUUUUCUAUCAGUGGCCCUCAGCAGGUUGGUGGUAAAUAUUUAUCAAUGUGCAUCAAGCAUGUGCAUGGAAAAACAAACACAUCUUUGUGAAAUUGUUGUUAAUUGAUGAAAAAUCUCCUGUUGUCUUUUUAGAUUGAAAUUUAUCACAUUGUUGGUGGAAAGUCAGCAAGACUGUUUUCUAUGAAUAUACCCACCCUCUCAAAGCAGUUACAUGCAUUAGGAAUUACAAUGUUUUCAUUAGCAGUCUUGUUUGCCUCUGUUAAAACCCAAUCAAAAUCUUCCCUCAAAAGAGCUUUGUGGGAGGUGCCCGAGUGUUAAAGUCAUAGACUGUAUAUGGACAACUUGGUUCCACCUUCUGCCAGUGUAUGGAUUUAAAACCAAAAAGCUCUCUGUAUCUCUGUGAUUUUUCUCUAUUUCCUGAAACCAACAUAGCGCGGUAGCGUUGUAUGCACUACACCACUUGUGCAGUAGCAUUGUAUGCACUACACCACUUGCGCAGUAGCAUUGUAUGCAUUUGGCGGGAGAGUUGCCCGAGAGUCGCUGUGAUGACGCUCGGCUUAAACAGCGUAUGUUGGUGUGUUGCGUGUGAAAGUAAAGGUGUCUAAGUUAAGUACGCAUGUUAAUCCAAGGUGCUGUUGUUCAUAAAUCUACAUAGAUCUGUUGCACAUAACUGGUAUAUGCAGGUAAGUUAAUACUUAUACGACUGCUCAGGAACAGCAUAAAUGGGUUUACAUAUACAAUAUUGCAUUUGAGUUGCAAACAUAUAUCUGUGUAUGUGUGCUUACUGGUGUCUGCUUAGACCUUGUCACAAAUCUGCUGUGUUCUGAGCGACGCCUCCAGAGGAUCUGUUAAAGUUGUUAAGCUAUAGAGUAUUGCCUGACAGAGAGGGGUGGUCUGCUUCAUAAUGUGUUCCCUUUGAACAAGGCAACAUUUUGGCCAAAGGCAUAACAUUUAUAGGGUACUUCAUCACCUCUAUCAGUGGCUCUUGUGAACCCCGCUGAAGAGCCACUGAUUGCUUUCUAAUUGAUGUAAUAAUUUAGUGGAGGUGGUGCAAGCCCAUGGAGAACUUUAUAUGUCAUACAGGUAAUUUUAAACCUAUGGAAAUUGCCGAAGCUUAACAGCUUGAUAUUUAGGGGGCUGUUACAGUAGUGAUAUGAAAAGGGUUUUUUGCUGAAAACUGUCAACCCUUUUGGACAGAGAUCCAGUGAGUUUCCUGUGCUUCUGUAAAUUAACUUGUAGUUACUGAUGCUUUUCUUUGUCUGUCACAAUUAUCCAGGGCUUUUUUUUACAUAUUAAAAAGAUACUUUUUUUUUCUUUAAAAGGGAUCUUGACCACUUGGGCAAGGGGUCCUGAGUCUACCUUGGGAACCACUGCAGUAGUCAAUAUGCAUGAAUAUAACUGAAUGUAGUGACUUAGAGCAGCACUUAAAUAUGAAACUCAUGUAAAUAGGUCUGCACGAUAUAUCAUUUGAGCAUUGUCAUUGAUAUAAAUGUGUGCGUAAUUGUCACACUGCAGAGCCUGGGAUGAAGGAAGCGAAUAAACUCAACUAAUUUCAAGGGUAGCUGACUGACAUACAAUGAAAAGACUCUUUAAUAGCAGACAAAAAGAGACCAGAGGAGGUGGUCGGCAAAGGUCUUAGUGACUUGACCCAAGAGUACCCCACAAUUAAAAAUACCCCUGUAGACUCAACCACUGUUCUAGUGGCUGGCAGGUUGUUCAAAUCAGAUAGAGCCACACACUGGCAUGAAACUGCACAUUACUGAAUGCAGUGGGCGUAUAUGCAAGAGGCCAAUUUAACUUUUUCUCCCAAAACAGACUUCGUCUUUAUACCAGUGCAACUUAUAAUUCAGCUUCUACAAUCGUGCAAAAUGAAAGGGAGAGGAUGUUUGAUCCUUUUUUAAAAACCCUUACAAGUCAAAAGAAAAUCUAGAUCUAAAGGGGUUGAAGACUUUAAAGUGUUUUGAUGAUGAGUGUGUGUACUGGAACAGAGACAGGUGAUGGUUUUAUGUUGAUUUUACAGCUGUUGUUGUACCUUUACCAGCAAAGCCAGAGAAUCAGCAGAAAAUUGCAGCUAUUGUGCAAAGGCAACAGAGAGCCCUGGACAGACGGAGUGAUGUUCAAUGCCAAAUUGGCAGAUUUGUAUCGAUAUUUCCCUUAAGUGUGCUUCCCUCCAUGUUUUGCUACCGCUGAUGUCAUAGAGAGCUAUUAAAUUACCAGUUUGGUGCAGGGAGGAAAAUACCUGCUCAUUCAAACUGUCACUUUACAAGGUCACUGAGCUGGAUCUGCUCAGCCACAAAAUUAAGGCCCUCGGUAUCAUGAAAAUUAAAUUGACAGGAAAUUCAUUCGUUAAUGAAACAGACAAAAGAACUAAUCGCUUGUUAUCUUAAAUGUCGCCCUUAGCGAUUCCAAAAAAUACACCCUCCAUCUCUGGCUUUCUUUCAGCUAUAAUGAAGUCUCUCAUUCAGUUGAGUGAUCUCACUUUCAGAAGCACUUUUUUCAAACACACCUAAUUGGACUUCACAACCUCUCACUGUCGAUCUUGUCUAAUUAAAGGUCUCUCAUUCUUCCUCUCACCUCGUGUGUCUAGUACUCGUCAAAUAAAGGUCUCACUCGCUCCCUUUCUUCUUUCUUCCUACUAAAUAAACUCACUUCUUCUCUUCUCCUGCAUCUACGUUAUAAGUAAAUUAAAAACAUUUAAUUGAGUAUCACUCUCUCUUUCCCCGACUCCCGUUAAGCAUUCAAUCUGCUCCUUCAACACAUCUCUCACCUCAGUUCCCACCUAAGUUUCCUUCUUGUUUACUUCCUCCCCGUAGCUCCAAAGCUCUGUUUUGGAGCUGAGCCCAUUCCUUUAGAUGUUUAAGAUCUCAGCAUCUCGUCUGCUUCCUGUAUCACCGCUGAAAUACUGCUGGCCUCUCGCGGGGCCACUCUUUUGUUGCCCUACACAUAUGGGACACAAAUCUGUUCAAUGAGGAAAGCUAGAGCAUCAUCUCAUCUUCUCCAUAGUCUGUCCCUGUUGUGCAGCUUGCACAACAACAGAGUGAAUGUGAGAUAUAUUUUUCUUUCAAUAUUACAUGUUGAGAAAUUCUGUAAUUGUAAAUAUGUCUUCUGACUAGGGCAGGGUAACAGGGACAUUUACAAUCAAAGCUUCUUAUAAAUGCUGCAGCAGAGUCUGCGCUAGAUUUACCUCUGUGUGAUAAUCAGAAUGUGAAGAGUCCUACAACAUUAUGCAUUUACAAAUUUGCAUGUCUCUAAUCACUGUGCUUUGUUAUCAAAAAGUUACAGAGUGAUACAAUGAGGCAGAACUCUUGUUUCUUAAUAAUAGUCUUCUUUUUUUGUUUGUGCAUGAAAAAAACCAUACUAUGAAAUUUGGAUACUUAAGGAGGCAUUGCAAGCACCAUUUAAGAUUUGAUUCUGUAAAAUAGCAUCUUUAUAGAGAUACUUUUCAACAAUCAUAGUGUUUCAAAAAUGCAUUUUUCCACAAGGUGUCUUUACUCCCCUUUAAUUGAUAACACAUAGAGGGUUUUUUAUCUGGUUAUUUAACAGACAAGGCUCUCCAUGACGAUGAUGACAAUCACUAUCUUAUUAUUUUUAAUGCCUGAAACAGCUGUGAGAGGAUAGGUGUGAGACAACAUGCUGAAGAAACAGCCUUGUUUUUUUUUUCUUUAAACCACAGCCCAUAUUCACUGUGAAUGAUAUAAUUGGCUGUUAAAAAAAAACAGGAUGAGAUUUUUCUUUAAAAAAACACCACUUAGGCAUGCUCACAACAAAAUCUGCAAUGAGAUAAGAGGUGUUGUUUUGUCCACAGGGGGCGCCAAAAUUGGUGCAAACAGGAAAUUCCUCCCAGGAGUGCUCAGUAAGAGAGUGGGUGGUUAUGUUAAAAGAGUACCCUGACAGGGUGAGACAAGACCAGGAUGUGAUGAUCCUUUAAUACUUUAUGCAGGUUGACACCAAGUAAUGGCUUGAAGAUUAUUUAAAUGGUCUAAAAAUUAAUUAAUACAGUUUGAAUAAUUAGUCCCUCUGACUGUAUUUCCAAUACAUCCUCCAAUUAAACUCGACUUUUUCAUCCAAAGUAAACUCAAAACAUUUGUGAUCAUCCAUCGGCAUUAUAUGCAGAUGCAGAAGGUAACAGUAGCCCCUUGAUAAAGUUCAUCUUGGUAACUUUUACACUGGCAUUUUCUCUUUACUGAAUACUCCUUAACACUGCCAAAACUCAUACCGUGUUGUGGUUUGUGGUUGUUUUGUGUCUGUUUGGUUGACUUCUCUUUCACUCAGAUACUGACCCCUGUGUGUUUUAACAUCCCUCUUUAGCUUCUGUUUUGUUUUCUCUCUCUUAUUGACUUUUUUUAUCUGCAGCUAACUUGUCAGCCAUGAGGCGAAAGUUUUGAGCUGUCCAAAUAAAAUUAGAGUUAUAUAGAAAAACAACAGCUCCAUAUUGUUGCUUUCAUGAACUAACAUUUUGUCAGGAAAAGCUGAAGUCAUAAACUUCAUAUAUGUGUGCAGGACUCUUUUCCAAAGAUUGUUUGUUUGUUGUGCUGUGUGGGGUUGAAACUUUGUUGAGGACAAAUUGUACAAAAUUAUAAUGAGGUUUUCACCACUCACAAUGAAAUUAUUACCGUAACUGUGCAAUAAACCAUUAUGGAGCGCUUUUUAAUGCGGUCUUGCAAGACUUGUUGGCUGCAGGAAAAGACGACUUUCUUAAUGUCAAAAAACAAACCGUCACUAAAUUUCCUAUUGUUGUCAAAUGAUGUUAUCAUGCAGGAUAUGAUGCUUUGAAGUUAUUGUUGUCCCACCCAAGUGUCACAACCUGGCUCUAAGAGGGAGACAACAUAUGGUUGCAAAGUUUAUAAAAUAAUAUUCAAUGAAAUACGUAAAUGAGUAUCACAAAAUUAUGAAUAUGGUUGUCAGUGUGCAUGCAGUGUUGGAUGUGUGAGUGUAGGUGUAUGAGUCAGCAAAGCAAAAUCUACAAACAAAGAGGCAGUAUUAAUCGGCAGGACAUGGAAAGAGAGAGCGAGAAAGAGAGAGAGCUUAGUAAGCAGGGCUGCUUUAUAGCCUUCUGAACCCAGCCUGCUCAGGUGUGCUGCAUUGAUUAUAGACUCCUCCCCCAUUACCUGCAACAUGAAACUUAGGCAGCAAGGAAGAAGGGUUAAAACAAGGAUAAGACUUCCACCUAGGUCGUAACACGAGUAACUUUAUUGAGGUGAUGAUUGGGCAAAAGGACUUAUAACAAUAGAUAAGCUAUCACUCCACUUUGGUGCUCUGCAUAUGGCAAUUAAUGUCAAACUAAUAGCAAUGAACUGAGUAAUUGUUGUACAGAUAAUGAUUCUUGACACUAAAUUGUCCUCUUCAAAUAGCUUUUAAUCAAAACAUACAUAUGCAGUGAGAACAGAAACACAAAGUAGCAGACGCAGAGGGAAAUGUUCGUGGGUUGCUUGGCAGCAGCCCACACUUCCAGUCAGGACACAGUUGUAACUGCGUUGGUAUUGCAAAGUGAAUCAUUGAUUAAUCCAAACUUAUAAGUGGAAGUUGUUUAUUUUUGUUGAGUUCUGCUUUUAGAACUGCAGUAGUACUGUUAAGGCCCAUCUUUUCUUGCCAUUUGUAUGAAAAUGUACGUGUCUGUUUCAAACAAUGAUUCUGUCACUGCACACAUACUUCCAUGCUUCCUUUACGUUGGCAUGGAUGUUUACCAUUACAUCCACCAGGAGGGAGGCCCGAGUCAAAAGGUUUUGACACAACAAACAAAACGAAACAUGGCGACCGUGGAGGAGUUAGUAAUACUGUAAAUUUUGCAUAGGAGACAGAAACAGAGGCAGCAUUGGAGGAGGCGGUAGUCGGUUGGGCCACUGAAUGCCUCGCAGUUUGAGGAUAAAGAGUUCUUUUCUCUUGUAGUAUCAAUGAGAAAUCCCCGUUCUCUUCGUUUGUCUGUAGAUAUGUGUAUUGGGUAGAGCAGCAACACGGUUUCCGGUGGUACUGCUCGGUGUUGUUUUCGUCAACGCCCCUUUUUUCCACGACGAAGAUGUGAUGUUGACAAGCUAAACAUAAGUCUUAGAUGACUAAAAUGUGAUGAGACGAAUGUGCGUUUACGUUGACGAGGCAAGACUAGAUGAAAACUUUAGUGGUGGACGAUGAACAGAACAAAAUUCAUAAGCAUUUCAUCAGUCAAACGCUAAACAUAUAUUCUGCUGUGUUGUUUUCGAUGACGAUGAUGUAGACAAAAUAUUUUCGUCAACGUCGUCGUCAACGAAAACAACACUGGUACUGCUCCAUCUGGCCGGUAUCUGCAAACUUCAAGGAUACGUGCAGAAAUACAGACGAAAAGAACACGAGGCACAGACGGAGAACUCCGUCUGUAUCCGUAUGUAACACUGAGCAUAAAAGAGCCUUUAGGACUAUGCUGUUAUACUGAAUGUUGGCACAGCUGCGAUUGUGACGAUUAUUCAGUAAAACAGCGUACCCUUAAGUGUGACUUUCCUUUAGAGAUAUCAACUAUUAGUAUGCAUUACAAUAAAAAUAUGGCUCGUUAUGAAUGUGCGUGCCUUAAUACAAAAAGUGUUAAUGAAUUAUUUGUUUACAGCUUUACCUCAAAGGCAGUAUCAAAUCCACUGAUUGCACCUCAGCUACGAGAUAAAUCCCUGUCUGAGCCUUUCACUUUUAGGGGCUUAUUUUGGAGGAUGACAUGAAUCUCUCUGGGUUUGUGCGUCAUGCUGUGGAGGUGUAGGGGGCAUGGUAGGGGGUGGCUGUGGAUGGGGGAGUCAGGAUGUAAUGUCAGGCAGCAGCAUCUGCUCAUGUCCUCUAGCCUGGCUGUUUAUCUCCUGCUGAGCAGCAAGUAUCUCAAGGAAGUAGAUGUAGUCUAUCUGGCUGCCAAGAGCAGAAUUUAACUUUAAAUUUCCUCCCACAGGAUUUAUUGAACAUUGAAGACAGAUUGAUUUUUUUUUGCUGCCUAAUGUAUCGAGCUUCAGUUCCUGCUCAUGCCUCUUUCUCCAAGGAUAAGUUGCUCUAAUAGAACUUUCUUAAAAAACAUUUGGAGGCUUUCUGGUGAAGACAAAGUCAGAAAAAAAAGUCAAUAUGAGCUUCAGCUCUGACAGUUGAACAGUUGGGGACUCGGCUUGCCAAACACUGAAUGGCAGCAGCUAAUCAGUUUGGGGAAAUCAGGACUCAGCUGAUUACAAGUAUCUCUGGAAUUGUUCACCAGAAUUUUCAAGUUCUGUGUGCUUGGCAUUGGUGCAACACAAGGACGAUCACUCAUUACACAGUAUUUAAGGAAAUCUUAAGACACUUUUGAAGUGUGGGUUUAGUUAAAGAGAUUUCUCCACAAUACCUGCUAUUGUUAUAGUAGGAUUAUGGCUCGCUGUUUGGAUUUCCUUGUCUUGUUAUCCACCCUGAAAGUUUUUUUAAAAUGAGCAAAAUGUCCUUAAACGCAAACACAUGCUUGGUGAGCAGAAUGACAGACAAAAACAUCUUCCUACAAUGAGAAAACACAACUCGAAAAUCUGCCUGAAAAAUCCUGCUGUAAUGACAAAAACCAUGUGAGGAAAUUAUAAUUGAAUCUUUCAUCUGUGUGGUGUGACUAAUCUGCUUGCUCUUUUUUUCUAAACUUUUUAUUUUUGGUUAUUUUAUCCAAAAGAAACAUUGUGAAGAAAAAGUUAAUUAAGUCAAAUCAUCAGAUCUCUUCUCCAUGAGUGGUGUAACAACUCGCACAGAUCCAAUAUUUCUCAAUCUUAUCCAUUUUAAGUAUUGAUUGAUUACUUACUGGGUCAACAACUAAAAUAAACAUACAUACAUAUACAUACAAUCUUAGCAUGUCCCCCUGAGGACAUGGAGAAACUACAAGUACCCAACAAUCCUGUAUUUUCACAAAACAACGUGUGCAUCUAUAUUUAGUGUUCCUUUUUUGUAUGUAUUUUUUUAAGUCUGUCUGAAACUGUAUGAUCACUUUCUUUCUCUCAUGUUUGAAAAUAAACAUUUCAAGUUCAAUUUCCUUUAGAGAGUUUGAGUUGUUGGUCUCAGACAACUGUUUUUUUUUUCCCCAAAACUUUCUGCUUUUGCUUUCUACCAAUCAACUCUGCAUUCAUUUAGCUUCUUGUUAAACCGGAAUCCUAUUAGGAGCAGGAAAAUGAAUAAAUGUACCUAAUUAAUCUUUCGUGACAGAUCAUACAUACAAAUAUGUCUGCUUGUCCCACCAUACAGUGCUUCUUCUGAUUUAGGACUUUUCAACCACAAACUAAAUCUUGUUAGAUGCAUGGUACAUUUCUAUUAGUACAAUCUAAUCAAGAGCAAAAGUCAGGUUUUCAGGGUGGCCAUGUUACAAAUGUUGGUUCAAGCAGGUUUAUUAGGGUGAGGUAGAGUGUUCAGCCCAACCUAGCGAGGUUGAGUUAAGUCCAGAUAGGCUUUUCCCCCUGGCUCUGCUUUCCCUGUCCUCUUUCUUUUACCCUCCCCCCUCUCGAAAAUGGGAGGAGAGGAGAAGCUGAGAUUUGAGCCCCAGCCUCAGCCCAAUCAGGGCUUUUCCUUCCCUCCUUUUUCCAACACCUCCCCACUGACUCCUUUCUCUGUUUUUCUCCUCUCUUCUUUUUUUGUUCAAGUGUGGGUAAGGGGGUGGGCAGGCAGUCCUUGGAUGCUAGAGGUAACUGUUGAGACUCCCAGAGAAGUCGUGGGCCUAACUUGAUGAAACACAGGUGAAGAAAAGUGCCCACUCAACGGCCUUGGCGAUGUGCUGUCUCUCGCUGCCCAUCUAUCCUUACCUUCAUGUCUGGAUUGUGGGGGGCCGUUAGGUGCCAUGUGCAGGGGCUAUGAAACUCAUCAUCUCAUCUUCAGAGAAAAGAUAUGGGGUGUUAUUGGGAAGGCUUCUUCGCUAAUAUGUUUUACCCUGUCUGUAACAUCAAGCUCAAAAUGAGUGCAGGGAUAUACAGUCUGAUGCCCAGAAUUCAUCGAUUACCAUAAUUAGUGGAUUUGGAAAUUCAAUUUGACAAUUUAACACCGCAACAUCUAAAAAAACGAAUUUAAAAAAGUCAAUUUGUUAGUUGCCCACAUGACACACUUCACUUUCAUAACGAGACGGUCUUUCACACACGACUUAACCUGUAUUUCCCCCUCUACAUGUCCAAGAUGGAGGCCAUUUCUGAACUCUUCAGCAAUCACAGUAACAGUCAAGGAGAUUUGACAGGCAUGGCAGGUUUCCCACUCUCAUCCCAGAAACGGAGGACACGAACGCAGCAACUUCUGAAGCCAAUUACUUAAGUUUUGCCUGUUUUCUUUCAUUCUCUGCUCACAAGGAAAGAUUGAAUAGAAAAAAGAGAAAACUUCCCACAGUCGUCUUAUCUCUGUAAUAAUGUUGCACAGUCUGCAUGUGUUUUUAUGUGCCAAACCAACUUCUCAUCAUUUAUUCUUUUUUUUUUAUUUUUGCUGCACAUCCUAAUCUCUCUGCGUUUUAACAAAAAAAGGUACUUAGAAUAUCCUUGUUAUUUAUUUAUUUAUUUAUUUUUCUGCAGAAUAGCUAGUUUCUGGGCUGCUGAAGUGUGCCAACGGGGACAUUUACUCAGAGAUUCUUCGCAGUGUUUAGAUAAGACUUUGGAUGCUGGUGACAAAUCAAAUGCAUGUCUGUGGGAGUGUGAGAGGACAGCAAUACAGCCAAUCAUGCAAAGCUGUGCUGCUUCUCUGCCAAAAUGAGAUUCGUAUCAAGAGUGAAUAGCUGCUUUCUGCAAAAGCAGCCCUGAAUAGAACAAAAAUAUCCACUAAAAUGUUUAAGAACACAUAUUUGUGCCAAAUAACUGUGAUCCCAAUAAAAAGGAGAGAAGAACUUUGAAAGUCAGUGAAUUUUAACAGGGAAAAGUGACGCCCACUACUGCAGCACCCACUGCUGUAAUAAGCACAGAGUUAAAACUAAGUAAGAAUAUAUUUUUUGCAUUCACUUUUGAUAAGUGAUACUAAAAAUUCCUGCACAGCCCUACAACAUGUUUUUGUGCAGAGUGUUUGUCAAGUUUUAUUUAUUUUCUUGAAAUUUCCACUUGCAGUUUGAAGUAGAAAUACGAUGUUUGUUGCUCUGUAAUGAAAUGUUCUAGCUGGAGGUCUGUCACACUGUCAGAGGGCUAAAGCUAAAAUGGCCCUUUCCCCGUUCGUUUUUGCAUGUUGGCGUGUUGUUGAUGUAGCCGGAGGGGAUGCAGAGAGAGAGAGCGAGAGAACGGAGGAGGCAGAGCAGGUUGCAUAUCAUCAGUCUGUGUCUUCCAGCAUUGUAACAAACAGUCUCCUAUGGUUCUGUGAGAGUAGUUAAGAAAAUUGUAGCCGUGCCUCAAACAAAUUACUUAUGUCAAAGUGAUCCCAAGACAAAACUGUAUUCCAAAGGUGGAAAAUUGCAAUCUGAUCAGUGCAGGGUGUGCUAUUUUUUGUGUGCUUUUUUGACAAUAAUGGGUGCAAGUAAAUUAGUAGGGAGAUGACACCUUGGUAUGAUAUUGUAUGAAGAUUUCAUUGGCACAUGAAUGGAUUUCACCAAAACAAAACAAGUGAAGCUUGGGGCCUGGAACAAGGUUUUCACUGGAUAACAUAAUGCUUCUGCCUUGAACUUAAAUAUAUAUGUGUUUUUACGAGAGGAGGUGGUAACAGGUCUCUGUGGGACUGACCUCACUGCAAAAAGAGAAAAAAAGACAGAAAAGACAACAACACAGACACUCAAGUAAAAAAAAAAAAAAAAAAAAUCAAUAGCAAAUACAAGGGAAGAUAAACAGAGCAAAAUCACAAACUAAACCACGUCAAUAUUUGCAACAGUUAUUGUAUCGCUGCAUAUUUUAUUCCUUUGAAGAGCGCCUCUUCCUUUAUGUUUUCUGCUCUUCAAAUCUUUCCUUUGUCUCUGCAGUGAAAAUGUGUAUUCACAUCACAAAGUCUAAUUAUACGUAACAAGUGGACUCUUUAUGUCUUCAAACAAGUGCGCUGACAUGCAUCUGCUACCGCGAAUAGAACAAACUCUUUGUUCAUGUUUUAGUUUGUUACAAUCGCCUUUGACGGCCAACUACAAAUAUAAGCAGUUAACAUCUAUUUUAGAUGGCUAAAAAUAAGGACCUGUCUGCUAUUGACGUCACAUUUUUCACUAUUAAAUCUGAUUUUCUUUCCGUGUAUUUUGUAUUUUAAGGCUACUGUGUUUAGAAAUGGGAAUUUUUAGCAACAUCCAGCCGCCAGUUCUAGAUUAAAACGUAACCUUGCUCACCCGCUUACCAGUAAAACAAUGGCGGCCCUCGAGGAGAAGAAACUCCUCUGAUGCAGUAUAAAUAUGAUCCUUCAUUUGACAUCUUUUCACUGUCAAAACCACACAUAUUAAUUAUUUUGUGCACAAUAAUCACUCUCAUCUUCAGCUCUCUGCCAGUGCAAUCCAGUGACAACCAACUUAACACAAAGGUGCUUAUGGCGAAUUGGUUAUCUGGUCUGUGCUCAUGUAGUAGCAGGGUGGUGCAAGAUGGCAGUCACUGUGGCUGUGGACCUGCUCCUAAUGUAGAUAUAAGAGGCUCAUUCUCCAUUGCCAAAAUGAGUUGGAUAUUUUUCCUGACUAUACACUAACUUUGACUUAUAAAUAUCAUAUUCCAUAUCUUCUGUGUCUGUCCUGCUUCUGCAUUCCUGUUGUAAGAUGCACAAGUUGUGUAGUAAGUAAACUGUAUUUAUUAUAGCACCUCUCAUAGAAAAGAUUCAUAGAGUGCUUAACAGUUAAAAAAUGUUAAAAUACAAUCAUAAACAUCCAAAUAAAAUCAUAAAACAGUAACAAACAAUGGCAUAAUUACAAUAUUGUAGGGAGAUGUGAAAAUUGAUGGGACUAUACACACAAAUGAUGCAAAUUUACAUCACAGUGUACCAAAAAUAAGAACUCAAGCAAAUCAACAGUGUGCAAUUGCCAAACAGCAUGGAAAUUCCCUUGUGAUAUUUGCAAACAGUGGACUGGCAGAGCAGUGAUUCAUUUGUCUGAAAAUGGAGAAUAGACCAAUUGUAAAGGUACACAGUUACAACUCAUUUUUCAUAUUCAGUGGGGAAUCAAAAAAAGAUAGCUUUGAGGCAAGUGAGCGAGGAGGUUUGAUCAUCUGGUAAACUGUUUAAACCCAACAUAUACUCACAGUGUGGUCAGUCUGUAACUGGCUGUACAAAGGCUAAAUCUGUCAGUGCAGCUGUUAAUAGCAAUAGCAUAGGGCUUUAGUUCAUCUUUUAAGUCUAUAUGCCAUGAGGUGUUAAGGACUCUGCAACUGUAGGUUACUGACUUACUGUAAUCAUUGGGUAUUUUUUUGUGCUUAUGAAACCUGCUUCAUUUCAGCGAGUGUCCAUUUUUAAAAUCUACCUGAAUACAGCAAUUCUACUUAAUGAUCGGCUGUUCCGUACAUAAAUUUUAUUUGAUUAGUUUGAGCGUGGCACGCAGCUUCUUAACUCUCAGGGGAACUGACUUGAUUCCUACCUGUUCCAUUGUUAAAGAAGUGCAACUUGGUGGACGUCACUGUGGUAAUUUAAAUGCGUGAGAAAUACAAUGUGUGGCGUGUGAGCAUAUGAUAGUGGAAAUGCCUGCAUCACAUGCCAAAUGCUUGAGACUUAAGAGCCCUACCAACAUGACAUGGAGGGACCUCUCUUUUCUUGCAAUCACAUGCCUUUGGAAACUCCUGCACAUACGAUACCCACAAAAAGAGCAAGUUAUUCAAGAAAAUCAGGCAAGUAAAUGCACAACAGCCAAGCAUCUAGAUACAUAAUUUUACAGCCUUUUUUUCUCUUUCCAAAGGCAAUGAUGCCAGAAAACAGUGAGAAGUUUUUUCCUAUUUUUUGGGACAACAGCCACAGCAUAGCUGCUACCUCACUGAUGACUGCUUUGUAAGAAAAAGCCAGUACACGCUGGAUUCACGUCCCAGCUAUUACCGAAACAUGCUGUUCUAUCUAUAAAGACCCUCUGAGUUGGCUCACAAUCACAAACUCUAAGUAACAUUAUAGCAGCCAGCAACAUAACAACAGCUAACUGCUAAUAGCUUUAAUGGGGAGCUAAUGGCCAGCCUGUUUCUGUUAAAGCAUAACUUUUUGGUCAUUUCAUCAGUGCAAAGCUGUGUAAAAAGUAACACCAAACAGUGAUUAGCUUGUUGUAACUGGUAAAAACAGCCAGGCGGGGUGUCAGACGGGUCAAUAAAAAAACAGACUGAGGAAACAGCUGUUCACAUUUUCUGAAACAAAUAUUCAUGUUAAUGGGUAUGUUUGACUCUUAAAACAAAGCAGGAAAAGAUUUUCCAUCAGAAAGCUACCCACAGGAACAUUUUAGUAGAUUUCAGUCAGUCUGGGCAUCAUUGCGGAAAGCGAGCCAACAUGAAAGAUAACCACUGUCUUGGUUGAGGUUUGGAGAAAAAUGUCCCAUAGCCAUUUCUAAAAACCCAGCCGGAAGGGACUUAAUAUCAUUUUCCAGUUUAUGCUUCAUCUCUGGGUGUUUUAAUCCCUUUAUCAGGCUGUCAGCAGCACAUCCUGUAACCCCAAAGAUGACAAGGUAAGGUGAGCUUCACUCCUGAACGAUUUUGAAGAGUGUACAUGCUCAUGUUUUUGUUUCCUGACUUUACUAUGAAGAUUUUUAUGUUUUCUGUUCAGAAGUGUUGACUUUAUACAGCUGUUGCUACCGCUGACUAUAAACAUCAACACUCAGGAGCAACCAGAGAGACAACUCUGUCUGAACUGAUCACUAUUCAGCAGAGGUUUAUGUUGACUCGUGCUAAAGAGACUCGCUGCUAUACUCAUCUAUCAGGAAAGCUAAAAUGAAUGCAUGAAACAACCAGCCAAACAACCCCAACCUUUCCUUUUCUCUGCUUACUCCGCAAAAUAGGUUUCUCUCUGUGUUCUCUAGUAGAUAAAGGAGAUAACGCUUUAUUUAGACAUUUUGUUGUUUCCAAAACAUUGUUUUAUUGUUGUAUUUUUUUGUUUCUGCAUACCUGCCAAACUGAAUACCUGUUUUGAUGCAUAGAUAUGCAGGGCCUUGUUUUUUAAAGUUAAAGAACAUAAUGUUGUAUGCUAAAGGUUGUCUUGCAGAAAAGGAGAGAAGGUGAAAACAUUUAGAAUACAGGGCUUACUUGAAUAGUUCUGCUUUUUAGGAGGCACUUUUUUAAGUGACAGAAUAAAAUUUUGCAACAACUAUGUCCUAAUGACUUUUCGUUUAUUUCAGUGUGCUGAAGCUGGCUACUUAGCCCUUAGCCUCCAUUAGGUUUCCUAUAGUAAUAAUAAUAAUAAUAAUAAUAAUAAUAAUAAUAAUAAUAAUAAUAAUAUAUCAUUAUGAUAAACACAAUAAUAACAAUAAUAAUGAUAAUAAUAACAAUAAUUUGAAAUAAAAUACCGAACCAACAUGUUUAAAUGACUCAGAUGCUGUAAUGAGAUGCACCCAGGUGCCCUGUACAUGAGAGAGGCCAGCUGCAUAUAGACCAAUAAGUUUGAUGAAUUGUUGAACUAAGGCCAUGAUGACUGUCCCCUCAUAAAGAUGUCUGUAAAACUUUGCUCAAAUUGAUUGAUGGCUGGCACUAAUAAAGUUACAGUCUAUUCUCUUUCCCAUCAGCCUGUCACGCUACUUGUCACCUGUCAAUUUUUCAUUCGCCCCGCUGGCCUGUCAAAGCUAUAAUCCUGGAGCAAAGUCAUCCUGAGCCACCAAAAGGUAACUACUUAAAUACUCGCUUUCAUGGGUAGAUUACAUAUUUCUGUCAAAACCAUUUCCUGUCUUUCUUUGUAGUACAUACUCUGUCAAUUAGGCCUGAGGCACAGGAGCGUUAACUUGACAUGUAAGGGGAAAUGCAAAAUGAACAGCCUGUUGUUAGCAGAUUAUUAUGCUGCGGUGUUGAAUACUCAAUGCUGAUUGGCCAAUUUACACAUUCAUUGGUCUGCUAUUUCUUUACAGAAGACCACUGACGAGAACAAACUGACUGUUCAUGGGAAAACAGAUUCAACCACAGACUUCGGAGGUCCAUCUUAGAAAAUGCAUACAGCACCUGCAGUAAAUGUUUGGUAAAUUUGUUCCAUUUUCAUGGGUUAACUGAAAGUAAACAUAGGGCAGCAAGCAGGUGAGUGAGUUAUACGCUAUAAUUUGAUUCAGGCACAAGAAGUGAACACCAAAGAGAGCACUAAAUAGGAUGCAACAUUGCCUGCAGACCUAAAAGAAGACGUCUACAACUCUGUGCACUUACAUCAGGUGUUUUUGUGAUUUGCAUGAAUUGGUUCACGUUGUCUUACAAAACAUGAGUAUUUUCGCUAAGUUAUAGCUGCUAGUUGUGCUGACUUUAAACAUAAUUUUAUUGCUAUAUAUGAUCACAGCUGUUCUUCCAGCAAAGGGCUUUUCUCAAAGUGGCAGUCUGCUUUGCAGAGGUUACUAUUCACAAGAGGUUCAUCUGCUGUAACAACCUACUCACUGUAUAUUUUCUGCUUACUUCACAGCAAUUUGCUUAAUAAAUCAAUAAUAUGACUUUAAAACACUGGCUGCUGAUUUCAAAGGAUUACAUUUCUUCUACUAGAGAACCAGUCUCUUGUACUCUUGACUCUUAUAAUUCAGCUAUUUCCUUUUCAUUCAAUUUUUUUUUUUCUGGACAACACCACUGAUGAGGAAGUAUACUUUGGUGAAAUGGUACAAACAACUACCGCUGCAUCUGGGUUUUUUUGCCUCAUCACCAUCAAAGUCUGUUGACAUUUUCUUUUCUAUAAAUCAGUUUUUAAAUGCUCUUAUAUCCCAGACUGUUAUCUGUGUAGUGUGUACUUCCACUGCCCUCCUUAACUCUGCUGACUCCCCUGCAUUAGCCAGCACCUAUUGUGUUUUUAUCUCUGCUAAUUUUGUUUGUUUUCUAUUAUUCUCUCUCAAACAAUCAGACAUUACAUUUUACUGACUGUUAUUCAUAACCAGUGUGUGACUGAGAAGCUGAAAUUGACGUAUCAGAAUAGAGAAAGUAACAGAGCAGUUGAGGAUGCGCCUCUUUGACUUUCCCUGAUAGUACUAAUCUUUAUGACAUCCAAAAGCUCCAAAAUUUUAGUGUUAGGAACCUUAUGGCCUUGUUACUGGGUAAUGUAUAAAGUAAGACAGGGCUGACAGCAGCAACUCAAUCAGCCGUCAAACAGGCAACACAGAGCCAUCAUGCAGCCAACAACACACAGCCUGUGAAAAUACAAUGACAGAGCAAGCUGCAGCAAGCAUGCUGCCAGUCUGAAACAGCCCUUAUGCUCACAGUUUUAGCACAUCCAUAGUAAUCUUAAAAUGAGAGUGUGCUUGCCAUAGUCACACUCUGCCAUUAAGAAAUAGCAGACUGUUGCUAUGGUGUUUAUUAAGUAAUGACCUAUCAGAAUCAAGUUCUUUAUACAGCCACAGAUUAAAAAAUAUACAGCUAUUAGGGAGAUAGAAUUUGUAUUCAACACAGCUGUGGAAUAGGAGUAAUAAUAUUAAAGGUAAUAAUGCCAAUGACAGUCCACAUGAUGCAAAGUCCUGAUAGAAGUUACUGAAAUUGAAUUUUGCAAAGCACUGUUGAGAUUGAGAUGAUUAAUGGGUGAUUAGAAUACAGAGGUUAUUGCCCCACAGCAAAGCAACCACACUGGACUGGCCUGCUCUGUUUGUCCUUUGCUGUAGAUUGCACAUUUCCAAUAUCAGAGGGUAAUAAACUCUGUUUGUGACAUUUCCAGUGGGCCAGUUAUUUUGUUAUAGACUGACAGCCUGUAACUAUUCCGACACAGUCACUAACCUUUUGUCGAACAUGUGCACCCAAAUCAUGUUUUUGACCUUUCCCUCAUUUUACACAUUCUGACAGUCACAGCUUCACUCUGUCAAUAUUCAGUCUAAUUUGGAUACUUCUGUAUCUUUCCUUGUAAAUUAAGCCACGCAAGCCUCCCUUUCCUCCCUAUUGUCCUUUCUGUAUUGAUUUAAUAAAACUGUCUGCCUUUUUGUUGUGAUUUUUUUUGUGCUAUUUUUGUGUUUGAUAGUACUCAUUGUGCAUCAGCUGCCCUUCUAGUUUGAUUGCACAGAGUGGACUAUGAUCACUCAGAUGAAAAACAAAGGCAGUGAAAAUGUGAAAGCUGUUAGUGAAAUAAUACAUUGUAGUCAGACAGCAGACGCCUUUGAAAAAAUAGAUACCUUUUGCUUGUCUGUCAGGAGGACCUGAGAGAUGAUUGUUAAACCUCAUCACGGAGAGCAUUUGUUUACGCAAAUAAAUACUUCCAAACCAGAGGCAGCCUCAAGGCGGAGUUGUGGUAUUGUGUCUGAGAUGAAAGGGGCAAACUCUUUUGCCUCGAGAGAUUCAAACUUGGCCCACAGUGGGCUGUUCCGCUGUAAUUAAUUCAGCUCAAUGUGUCAGUAUUUUGGAGAACUCUCCCUAUCAACAGCGGAUGAAUUUGUAAAAACUUUUUAAACUCUAUUUAUGUGCACUAAGGUUUGUUAAACCUCUUUUUUUUUAAAUUUCUGAUUUUGCUGCUACUUCUGCGCUCUCCAAGUGAAUGAAGUUUGGUUUGAAUUGCUUUUUUUACAUGCAUAUUCAUGAGAGCCUGGUUUGUGUCCUUCCAGCUACACAUUCAGGCAUAUGGGGCACUGAAUAGUCUGUUACAUCACACAGAGAAGACAAGUUGCCCAGGUUUUCAUCUUUAAGCUCCAUAACAACAUUUCUCUUCCUGGCCAUGGUACCUUUUUUUUUUCUUUUUCUCACAUUGUGCAGAAUCUGAGCUCUGCUUUUCAAUGCAUAUAACCAUGAAUCCUUUCACAUGUUUCACAUGUAUCCGUCUGAGGCAUAAAACGUCUUUUUUCUGCUUUGUUUGGAUGACACAUAAUGAUAGAUUUCUUACCUAAUGGUCCCGGAUUGUACAGAGUACUUGAAAGCCGGUUGGAGUGCACAGAUGGCUCAGAGAAAAACACUCGCUUCCACUUCAGAAACUCAGGCUCAGUCCCCAGUUUGGGUACCCCUGGCUUGGUUGUGCCAAUCCAACAAACACAAUGUUCACUUGUGGGGAAAUGAAGAGGGAUCAUGUCUUUGUUGUUUGAAAAGCAGCUCCUUCCUGUUGGUGCAGGAAGUGCAGUCAUGGGGAUUAUAUCAACUUUUUUGUGCAUGCUGUAGCUGCUCAGCGGUGGUGGCAAAGAGAAUGGGUUGGCCACAUCAUCUGUAUCUGAGUGGAUGGUAGAAUAUGCCGAGACAAGCACUGGUGGGAAUUGGUGAAACCAAACUGGGGAGAAAAAUGGAAGGAGGGAGGGGAAAUUAAUAAAGUGUGCUGGAUGCUGUGACAGCUCUGUCUUUUUUGUGUGCACUGUGCAGUUAUGUACUAUGUGUGCAUCCCAGGUCAUCAAAUAUCGAUGCUCUGUCAGACCUCCUUGGCAUCUCAAACAGAUGCACAGUGCAGCAGUACUGCAUGUCUUGCAGAGGCAUGUAACAGACUCUAUUUUCUCCCCUGUCCAGUGUGGGGUUAAAAUAGGUUAAGGCAAAAUAAUUCAUGGUGUGGUUGAGGUUGCGACAUAAACUUUGGGAUUCACUCUGGGCACCUAGGUGUACCUCUCGCUUACCAGUGUAGGGGUCUCAUAAAGUCUAGUUACUGCUUUGCCAUUGUGUAACUAGUCCCAGUUUUUCUUGGUGUCUAUUGUUAUUGCAGGGAGGUUUAAUUGGUUCUUGCCAAGGUGUAAAUAUGGCAAUUUGGCAGUUGUUUAGCUGGCUUGGCAAAAGUUUCAAUGGACCUGCCAGUCAAUUCACCCAUUCCUGAAUUCAAUUAAAAUACAUUAGUUAUUGAGGACAGAGUUUGAAAAAACACAGUAGGUAUUGGGAUUGGUAAUGAAGAGUUAGUUUAGGGACACUAUAUAUGAACCUACUUUUCAUAAUGCGUCAUAAACAUAUUUAUAACAUUUAUUUAUGAAUGGAUCCAUUUUGACUUAGGAGGGAUAAUGAGCUUUCGUAACUGCCUGAAGUCAUUUUUGUGAUGUGUUGCACUUUAAAAAUACAAUAUAUAUGGUGGGCGAAUUUUUUCAAUGACCCAUUUGAAGAUGUGGAGGUUAAAAGUUCUGUACAGAUUUAGUUAUUAGAGGCAUAAUUGAUUAUGCUCCUCAGCUCCAUCUCUUUGUCUUGUUUAGGUUGAUCCAAAAUUUGGUUGAGUAAGCAUCUUCCAUUUGGGGACCUUCAUUGUUCCGCUUCGAAACACCCACUCAAAAACCAAUGGGUGAUGCAAACACGUUUUUUACAGCCUACGUUGAAGCCAGCCUUGCAUGGACACUUGCGGUAUCGCGGGUUUUUAUACACCUGCAUUGGCUUUAAAGGGUUGCUGCUUGAUUUGGACCUGUGCCUCCAAUGUUGUAAAAAAUUUAAUAGUAUUGGUCAUCCAAGGUUGAAAUUAAUGAUAAUGUACCUCCAAAGUACCUGAAAACUACCUGAAAAAGCUUGUGAUAUUAUUUAGAUAUCAAGGUGGUAAUGAUAAUAUAAUUGAAAAUAGCUCAGAAAAUGAGUAGGUGUACUGACUUCAGGGAUAAAAUUUUAUGAAUUGAAUCACUAAUUUAUUUUGGACUCCCCUUUAAAAAUAAACCUGUCACUAUUUUAAUGCCCCGGUGUGAUGUGAGUGAAGUGCAGGGUAAUCUAAUGCAAAUGUGUAUGUCUUGUUGGCAAGCGUGCAGCCUCCUGUAAUAGCCCUGCAGUGUUGGUUUUGGCACAGCAGCAGUACAAACAUGUUGCGGUGGAAGAGGCUACUUCCACUGUAAUGUAUUUACUGUCUAAUUUGUGUCUCAGUGAGAGACCAUAUAUCCUGUUUAGGGAGUGACACCUCUCCUCCUCCACUUUAUGGAGCGGUGCAGGCAUUUGAUGGGGACUUGAACAUGCUGUGCUGAUGGAUGAGCUUGUCAAAGCAGCCCCAUGAUGCUCUGCUCCCCACAGAACGCACCAGGGCUGGAGAAACUCAAUCAUAUGGAAAGGCAUCAGAGGAAACAUAGUUCAUAACUCAUUCGUAACACCUGAAAAUAAUCUUCUUAACAGUAUAUGCUUCACUUGUGAGGAUCGGCUCACAGUUUAUGGCAGGUUAGAGUGUCAACUUUUAUAGUAUAGUUUAAAACAUGACAUUUGGCAAAAAAAUGCUAAUUUAUUGCGUUGUGACAGCUGAUAAACACGCCUAAGGUUGAGGCUGUGCAUUUGUCAACAAGCUGUUUUUAAAUCAUGCUGUUUGUUGCUCACAUUUAUCCCUCUCUUUUCCUGCUCUGCUGCCAGUUGUACAAUUUUGAGCACUGUUCCUCUAAUGUCAAAAAUUCAGCUCCAGUCUGAGAGUUUGAUUCCCUGAGGCAGAAGUUCUGAAACGCUGACAGGUGUUUCAAAGUGUUCAAUUUGUGGAUGUUCUAAAACAAAUUCUUGAAACAUUGUGCUUUAAUACAUCUCUUUGAGUGACUUUCGGCACUAUUUCCGUGCCUCUAUUUUUGCUCUGCUUUUUUCACAAGAAUAAUUCCAAUCAACAGCAAUCCUCAGUAAAGCCUAAAGCUAUUCAAAGGGGCUGAAUAAUUGACAUGAAGUAGCAAUUUCAAAUUAUACCUGCUAACUAUUACUGUGCCCAUGUAUAACUUGAAAUUGAGUUGGAUAUAUUUGAAGACCUGUGUCUGUAGGGGGUUUGAGGCAUCAUUCUGCAGCAUGAAAAAGUGCUGCUGUUAAUGUUACCUGCAUAAACAGCAAACCUGAGGCAAGCUAGCAACAAAGGUGGUGCAUACUGGUUGGUAAUUUGUCCCUGUUGACUGCAGUAGCUGAGGCAAUAGGUUAUUUUAUUUUCCAAAAGUACACUCAUAUAGUGCUGUUCAAAAUACAGAAUACAGAUGGAUGACAUGACAACCCCGGGACUCGGAUAAAUGCAAGAUGUUCCAGAGCUGCAUCUUUGAUUUUCAGUUGUUUUGUUUAUUUUUUAGUUUUAUUUUUUUCCCAACUGAUGGGCUGUAAAUGUACCACAUCCUCUUUUUUGUGCUAGACAUUAAGAAGUAAGCUAGUGUUAUUGUUCUUUCAGGCAAAAUUGACAAUGAAUGUUCGGUAACACUUUCUUUGAGGCCUAUCUGUAUUACUCAUUAUAGAUAUAUUUAUAAUGCGCUAAAAUCACAUUAUAGCACUGUAUAACUAUAGUCAUAAACACUCAUACAUGAUCAUGCUUUAUUGCAAUAAUCAUAACACAUUAUUAGGCAUUUUAUCAUGACUUACAAGGUCAGGUAUUAUAAUGUUUUAUACCUGUUAACAGUUGCAUAGAUAGAUAGAUAGAUAGAUAGAUAGAUAGAUAGAUAGAUGGGAAAAUGCAGAAUAAAUAUACUAAAUAUAUACAAUACAGAUUGAAUAUACUAAACAUCCUAGGAGAAAAAAGUGAGAUAUGAAAAAAGUGGGCUAUUAAAAUGAGUAAUAAAUAUGAUAUGAGUAAUAAAUAUGAAAUGCGAAAUAUAUAGAUGGGGUGAUAAUUAAACAAACAAUCUAAGGUGCUCAGUAAUGUGUUGUGUUAGGAGUUUUUAAAAAUGGACUAUACAGCAGACAGAUGUGAGUCUCUGUCUGACAGAUGUGAGUUAUUGAAUAGUGCUAUUGCUUGUGGCAGGAAAGAUUUCCUGUAUCUGUCCCUUCGACAGCAGAGCUGCAACAGUCUGUUGGAGAAGAUGCUCUGCUGUCUGUCCAGAGUGAGGUGGAGAGAGUGGUCAGGGUUAUCCAUGAUGGAUAACAGUUUGGUCAGUGUCCUCCUCUCCACCACAGCCUCCACAGUGUCCUGUUUGCAGCCAAUCACGGAGCCAGCCCUCCUGAUCAGUUUGUUGAGUCUGUUGGUGUCACUGUACGCCGGACACCACAGACUGGUAGAACAUCUCCAACAUCUUGCUGCACACGUUUAAGGACCUCCACUUCCCUAAGAAGUAGAGUCUGUAUUAUUGCAUUAUCUACAUGGGCAUUGUCAGUGAGUUGUUUACAGUUAUAACACAUUAUAAUACCUGACCUUGUAAGUCAUGAUAAAAUGCUUUAUAAUUUGUAAUGAUUAUAGCUAUAAAGCAUUAUGAUCAUUUAUGAGUGUUUGUAACUAUAGUUAUACAGUGCUAUAAUGUGGUUGUAACACAUUAUACAUAUAUUUAUAAUGCAUUUUAGAGGUAGUCCUCAAAUAAAGUGUAACUGAAUGUUCUUUUGAAAACUGAUGGUACAAAUUGAUUUUUAAAAACUGGUAUUCUGCUUGUAAACAAUUUUAAAUGAACACAAUUGCCUCUGCACAGUUUUACUCACUGAUUAAUGUUUACAAAACGGACUGAGCAAUAGUUUCGAUGUUCCUGGAAACAUCUGCAGUUAGCAUGAGUAGCAGCAUUUUCCCCCGUGACUUUCUCUCUUUAUAGUGUUCUCUUACCAGCCCCCUGCAGACUCCACAAUACUGGUUUCAAGGCCACACAACUGUGAAUAUGUCUAGUGUGUUUGCAGUGCAAAAGCAUAAUAUGCCGGCAUUGCCUUAAAUUGCCGCAGGUUAUGUGUACAUAUCAAUCACUGUGAAAUGCUGCACAUACUAAGAAUCUUGUCACAUAUUUACACAAAUUGCUAUAAGAGAAGUCAGUACACAGUGUAUAGAGGGCUGUUGUAAACCUGGUCUGACACUGGAUAUGUGCUGCAACACCCUUCUUUUGUAUCAAUAUUCAAAACCGUUGCUCCCUGUAAUUUAAACCAUAAUGAUCUAUUGAUCGACGUCACACAGUCUAAAAUUUGAAAUGCAUUACUCCCUCAUUAAGUGCACAGAUUAAAUGACAAUAUGUAAACCUACACAAGUGUAAGAAUAACAACACCAACCAUUUUUCACAUGAACAGCUUGAUCUUUAUAUGCACGCUAUUUUGAAAGAAAGUAAAACAGAAAAUGCUGCAGAUAAAAUGUCAGCCAGGACGUGUGCAUGUAUGUGUGUGCAUGUGUGUAAAAUGUGUUGCAUGCAUGUGUACACAAAGCCCCUGAUGUCUACUAAAGCUUUGACAGCUGACAGGUAAAUUGUGAAAUAUUACAUGGUUCUGUCAAACAGCUUAUACCCACCUCCUUUCUCCACUCCAAGUGAACUCAAGUGUGCAUUCCUCAGUAAACAAAAAAGGUCUUAAAGAACGGCAGCACAGGGAGCGAAGAGCUGCAUCGUAUUUGCAUUUCAUAUCAAGAAAACAUGCUGUAAUUUGUGGCAGAAUGAGCUACAUAUGUCAAAAUGAUGAUAUAGUGAAAGAGUUGCUGAUUUUAGACUGCACUACAACAUCAAAUGUGCCUGCAACCACACCCUCUUGCCAGACAACAAUGUUGUCUCUGAAAACAUUUUGUUUCCUCUCAGUCAUGCUUUUAUGGAUGCAUCAUCCUUUUGAAAGGCUAGGAUUACUCCAUGGACAAGUGUGGUUCAUGGCAGUAAAACAUGUUUGAAAUAAAAACAUUUUAAAUUGUGCAACAAAAACAAGCUCGGAACGCAUUAGAUUUGUAGUGGCACAGAUUUCCCCACACUUGCAUGAGUUGUCCCAAAAAUAAAUACCCAGUGUUUUCUGUGGCUGUGUCACCCUGAAAAUGUGUCUGUGAGAGUUUAUGAGACACACAAAAAGAUUUGCCAGUUUUGCUGACUGCAUGUCUUGUACUGUCACUGGUGCAUAACGGAUCCCCCAUUUCAAAACUCCUAAUAAAUACUGUCUCUACACAUGCUUUUCAGGCACAGUCUGAGGAAAAACAAACUCGGGGACCAAGAACUGACACAGCAGGACAACCAUGCAGGUGGGGAACCUUUUUAGCCAUCAUCCAGGUAAUAAACUUAUUACACUUAUAUCCAGCUGAUUGAUUUACAUCUCUUGAUUUGUGAAUGUGUGUGUCCUUUAUACUGAAUACAGUUGUCACAAGAAUGAACUCCAGCUUAACUGAACACAGAUGUUUUUCAGUUCAUCCUGUUUGUAUUUUAUUGUGUGGAUAACUGGCCAACACUAACUAGUUUUUUUUUUUGUUUUUUUUUGUAGUUUUAAUAUUGACCAACAACCCAUCAAGCCAACCAAUUUGAGAGGAAAUGUGGAAUUGUGUUUGUUUUCAACAGUUGCUCAGUUGAGAAGUACAUCUGUCAAACAAAAUAAUACAGUAACUAAGGCAACAUAAUUGAUGCUGUUAUCCCACUCUUACUUAAAAAACCCAGAUGCCCACAUUUUAGAAGUUUCUUACUCUAAAUGAACCAAAACAAGAGCGAAGGGAUUUGGGACUGUGCCCAAUCUCAAGCUCUGCACUAACUAAUUGACAGGCUUCCAGGUGCCUUUGGGUGAGUGUGUGAGGGUUUAGUGCUGACCAACAUCAUUAACUGUGUUAGGACUCUGAUGCAGACUUUGCAAUGCUAAAUUAUGCCCUUUUUGUGAGUGUGCACAUCUGAGGCUUAUUGCAAAUAUGACAGGCAUGAUUGUUUAGCCUUUUGCUGGAAGUAAAAAAAUGUUUUUAUGUUGAAAUAGAAUAAAAUAAAGUCAAAAAACGUCAAUGUGAACAAAGCAGGCAAUGACAUGACAGGCUAACGCAUAGCUAAUCGCUUAUGGUUAUUUGAAGAGUUAUUUCAUAGUUUACACCCAAAGAUUUAUAAAGGGUUACAGUUUAGCACCCAGACUCCUCUACCACGGAGUCAUGUUGUAAUCAGCGCAGAAUGUAUUUUGUCAUUGUCCUGCUGAAAUAUGCAAAGUCUUCCCUGAACAAGUCAUUGUUUAGAUAGCAGAGUAUUUUGCUCCAAAAUCUGUAUAAACUUGUCAGCAUUAAAAGUUCCUUCCA
rnacentral:lncRNA from 1 species